AAUUAUUUUUAAAGAAAAAAUCACAUAAUGUUUUUUAGUGUAAAAAGUGUGAAUUAUUUAAUCAAAUAUCUAAAUUAAUUUUAAUAUAAAUAUUAACGGCCUAAAUUUGCCUAAUACGUGGUAAGGAUUGUAUAAAUAAAGAACAUCCCCGCCCAACGCUCCAAAAAUAAAGAUUUCACUAUAAUUAAUAUUUGUACAAUGAUAAGAAUAAAAGAAAAUACAAAUACUAAAAAAAGUAAGCUCUUCUUUGAAUAUCAUUCCCGACGAGUAUUUCUAAGAACCUGUACAAACAUUUAUAAUAAAAAUAUUAGUAACAAAUAAAUAAUUAUCAAAAUAAAUGUAAAAGGUAUGUGUGCAUAUAUGUAUUUAAAAAUAUAAUUUUUUGCUAAAAGAUGGGCUCAAAUUAAAUUUUAGAUACACCAUGGCUACGAAGGGGUUGCUUAAUUUGUUGGCCGUCAUAAAUCGCCUUGCCAAGAUACGAUUCAUAAAAUCUUUUGUGUUUUAAUAAAAAUUUCGUCAUCGACCAAAUUUAUUUAUUUUAUUAUGUAUUUAUUUACGUAACAUCCGUCUUUUUAUUUGUGGAGGCCUCAGAAAUCGACAGAAAAAUUUCUUCAUCGGCCAUUUCAUAUAACAUUUGUUCAUUGUAAGUGUUAUAUCAAAUAAAAAAAUGAAUAGGAAGAAUUCCAAAAAAAAUCAGUCUAUAUUUUUCAGGAAUAAAUGUGAACAGUUGACAACACUAGUAAAAUAUCAACAAAUAUACGGAGUAGUCAAUAAACCCAAAAGGGCGAGACAAAUACCCAAAAUCAUAAACAGGUUCAUGGUCAAGCACCAUUCAUCAUAGAAGUCCACAAUGAUCACCAAUAAGAUUAGAAACACCAUAAUUUAAAGUUAACAAAGACAAUCAUAGACAGGACCAAACAAAUAAAUGAGCUAAAAAUGAGUUGUCGGAGUGAAAUUUUUUGAUUAGAUCUGGUGCGUCGAUGGUGGUGAACAUUAUUUCUAAAUAAUAAAUAAUAAAACAGAUGAGGUAGGGAGAGGACUAGCGGCGAUGGUGCGGCUGGAGGUUUGUGGGUUCGCUCGUCGGUAGCCAACUCCUGCGAAGCAACAGUGGAGAAAGAAAAGAGGGCAGCGAUAAUUGGUGUUGCUGGAUCGACACUAGUUAAACCGGUGGAAGGAGAUGAUGGGGAGAAAGAACGAAGGAGAAGAGAGAAGAGAGGAGGAGUGGUUGAAGGCUAGUGGUGGUGCGGUGAUUCUCCGACUGGAAUAUUGCCGUAGAAGGUGGGCAACGGUUGUUUAUGUGGGAGACGAGAAGAUGUGGCUGUGCAUAAAUUGUGUGUGUGAAUGUGUAUUUGUGUUAAAGUGUGUAUUGUAUAUGUUAAAACAAAAAUUAACCCCCCUUCCUUCUUAUAAUAAAAAUUGAUCCUCUCAAUUAUCCAAAAAAUAAAAAAUUGACCUCUCUUGUCUCCUCAAAAUUUCUUUUAAUCCGAAAGUUAUUUACCGAAAAAUUUUACAUCCUUUUAACCUGUGUAUAAAAAUUAUUUAUUCAACGGAUGAAAAUCUCAACCCGUCACUUCAAACAUCAACUUUUAAAAAGUGACGAGACCUUGACCUGACUGAUUUAUUGCUCUUUGUAUAAAAAUAAUUGAGCCGACAUUAUCGUUUGCAGAUUGUAUUAAAUAAGGUACAAAAAUAUGAAUGUCGAUGUAUAAUUACAGAAAAAUGUAAACAACAAAUAAAAUACAAUUAUCUUUGAAAAAUGUAUUGUCCUAUAAACAAUUAAAAUUAUAAUUAUGUAAAAAAGAAUUGUAGUGUUAUGUUAUGUAUGUAUGUAGAUGACUGUGUAAAAAAUAUUAAAAUGAUAUCAAACUGAUAAAAAUUCUAAAAUAAUAAAAUUAAGGAUAAUUAUAUAAAAAUUAAUAUAUGACAAUAUAGUACUAAAAAUUCUAAAAUAAUGACAAUUAUCAAUAAUUUGUUAAAAAAUAUAAAAAUAUGUAUAAAAUUUUAUUUUGUGCCCUUUAACUAUCACAAAACCUAAAACCGUUAAUUUAGGCACGGAGAGUCAAAAUUGAGUGUCAAAAUUUUGCCCCUUUUCGUUUGAAGAUGAUGUAGAAGUCUUCAGACGAAAACAUUGACGUGUAGCCAAUUUUGCUCAACAAAAAUAUUUUGAUAAAGAAAUUCGACUGAACUCUGCAUAGAUUUGCCUACAUACUUUGAGUUGUAUGAGGAUCAGGUCAGGUAUAGUUCAGGUCGGGUAUAGUUCAAAAGAUUAGGCAAAUUUCCCUAUUAUUAAGGGUAAAACACCGUGUGAAAUAAUUAAUGAAAUAUGGACUAAUUGGGAACAAAAGUGUUUAUCUAUUCCCUAUGCCUCUUUCAAAAUUGCCAGUAUCGAACUGUGAGAUGCUGGGAUGCAAGAUUCUGUACUUACUGGGGAGAAAGAACAAUUAUGAUUGUGAUGAUCAAACUUCAAAUAGAGCUUUCUAUAUAUCUCGAGUGUCACGAGAAUCAGGUCAAUGUAGUUCAAAAUGAGAAAAAUAGGAUAAGUUUGAGGCGAUUCUCAAAAUUGGCCACAUUAUAUGAUUCAUGGCUAAAACUAUCUUAUGGAAAAGAAAUGUCUUAUUGUGGAUUAUAUUUCCAACUGAAAAGAUGUAUGACAUCUCCGAUUGUCUACGGGGACUUGAGGAUGAAUGAUGUCUCUGAUUGUUUACGGAGACUGGUGUGAUGAAUAAAAGAUGUCUGUGAUUAUCUAAGGAGACUAUGUGAUGAAUGAAAGAUGGAUUCGAUUGUAUACAGACUAUAUGAUGAAUAAUAGUUGUCUUUGAUUGUCUACUAAGACUAUGUGAUGAAUAAAAAAUAUCUCUGAUUGUCUACAGAGACUUGAUGACACUCUAAUUGUCUAUGAAGACGGAUGUUGAUUGUUGUAUCCAAUUUUCUACAGAGACUAAUGUUGAAUGAUGAUGUCUUCGAUUGUAUAGAAGACUUGAUGACAUCUUCAGUUGUCUAUGGGGAUGGAUGUUGAUUGGCGUCUCUGAUUGUCUACAGAGACUAAUGGUGAAUGAUGAUGUCUUCGAUUGUCUAUGAAGACUAUGAACAAAAGAUGUCUCCAAUUGUCUUCAGAGAUUUAAUGGAUGAUAUCUCCAAUUGUCUAUGGAGACUGAUAUUAAUUGUCAUCUUUGAUUGUCUACGAAGACUGACAAAUGACAUCUCCAAUUGUCUAUGGAGACUGAUGUUGAUUGUCGUCUUUGAUUGUCUACGAUGACUGAUGGAUAAUAUCUCUAAUUGUCUAUGAAGACUGAUGGAUGACAUCUCCAAUUAUCUAUAGAGAUUGAUGUUGAUUUGUCCUCUCCAAUUUUCUACGAAGACUAUGUGAUGAAUAAAAAAUAUCUCCAAUUAUCUACGGUGACUUGAUGACAUCUCCAAUUAUCUAUGGAGACGGAUGUUGAUUGUUGUCUCCGAUUGUCUACAAAGACUGAUGUUAAAUGAUGAUGUCUUCGAUUGUAUAUGAAGACUUAAUGAUAUCUCCAGUUGUCUAUGGAGAUGGAUGUAUGACAUCUCCAAUUAUCUAUGGAGACUGAUGAUAAACGACGCCUUCGAUUGUCUAUAGAGACUAUGUCAUGAAUGAUGUCUUCGAUUAUCUAUGAAGACUAUGUCAUGAAUGUUUUCUUCGAUUGUAUACGAAGACUAUGUGUGAUAUCUCCGAUUGUCUACAGAGAUGAAUGUGGAUUUUUGUCUCCGAUUGUCUACGGAGAUUGGUGUUGAAUGAUGAUGUCUUUGAUUGUAUAUGAUACUUGAUGACAUCUCCAAUUGUCUAUGGAGAUAGAUGCAUGAUAUCUCCAAUUGUCUAUGGAGACUGAUGUUGAUUUUCAUCUUCAAUUGUCUAUGAAGACUGACAGAUGAUUGUCGCCUCCAAUUAUCUAUGAAGACUAUGUAUGAUACCUCCGAUUGUCUACAGAGACUUGAUGACGUCUCUGAUUGUCUACAAAGACUGUCUCAUGAAUGAUGUCUUUGGUUGUCUAUGAAGACUUAUGUUGAUUGUAUCUCUGAUUAUCUACGAAGACUUGAUAAUAAAAUGACACCUCUUAUUCUCUACAGAUGAAUGUUGUCUUUGAUUGUCUACGAAGAAUAUGUUGAUUGUCAUCUCCGAUUGUUUACUAAGGCUAUGUGAUGAUUGAAAGAUGUCUUCGAUUGUCUACGAAGACUAUGUUGAUUGUUGCAUAAUAUCCCCAGUUGUCUACGGAGACUGAUGUUGGUUGUCGUCUUCGAUUGUCUACAAAGACUGAGACCCUCAACUAAUAAGGUGACCAAAAUCUAAUAGCCUUUUCGACGGGAAGGGCUAUUGAAAUGUAAAAAGUUCUCGAUUAAGAGAAUGAAUGUAAUAGCCUCUCGACUGACGGGGUUGUAAAAAAUGUAAAAUACAGGUAUUUAAAGGUAUGUUCCUGAAAGAAAAAGACAAAAUGUCCGUAUUUAAAAAUCGGGAGCCUUAAAUAAAAAUAAAAAAAUACAUAAAUGUGAAAGUAGGUACCUUUAAUGAAAGGUAAAAAAGAAUGUUCGUAUGUGAAAAUGAGCGUCUUCAAAAAUGAAAGAAUUUUUUAUAUUUUCUUGACAAAAGUGUUGAAAGACAAAGAAGACACGGUCGUGUCUUGACUUCAAUUGGUACCAAUAAUUAGUAGUGUACAUAAGAAUUCUCCCAUCUCUUUCCCAACUAACCGAGAUCGACUUCUGGGUAACUCUUAUAGUUUCAAGUGGUACCUAAGACAUACCUAAGUAUCGACAAGAUUUAUUCGUCUUGUUUCAAAUAAAGGUUUUAUGAAACUACACCUAACCUCAUGCUUCAAGUGCCCUCUCCAGAAAGAAAGUCUCAUUUCACAUAUAUUUGAGUAAGAUUUUGAUUUGGGGACGUCAAAAGAAAUACACUCACACUCAAAAAGAAAUUCAAUGCAUGCAGUUGGGAUACCACAGGCUUGACCUUCAUGUAAGUAUCCAAUAAUGUGAGAACACUUGGAAUAGGAUCCUGUAGGUAUUGUUACUGUCUUGUAAUAUAGGUUUGGAGGCAGGUAGGAUGAUAUUUGGGAUGAAAGUGACUAAUUCCUCAAUGAGCGUUGCACUGUACCUGUGCUUUCAAUAUUUGUUGCACUUUGACGUGUGAUCUUCUUUGUUGUCCUUCUUUGACCUUUGUUUUUGUAUAUGCUUCGACUUCUUUUGAAUCUUGUGUUAAAAUUUUCCCCUUUUUUUCAAGAAAUUAUAUAUUUUUUUGUUCUUUUUUUCUUUUCUCCUUUUUUGUGGGGGAUUUGCUCCUUUUGAAGACGUUUUUUUUAUUUUGUUCUUCUAGGACACUAUAUCUUUUGCAUUUUGCGUCUUUGAUCUUGAAUCUUCAUCCACGAUUUGCACGUAUUUAGAGCACUCAAGGAGGUAGGGCCAAAAGAAGGACAGUGCAUGUAAGCACUCAAAAAGGUAUAGGCACAGAUGUGGUUGCCCAAAGAAAAGGUUUUAGGCUCAAAAAAGAAAAUGCUAAGGAUUAAUGUCAUUUGGUGGGAUGUGAAAGGCUCAAUCAGGUCAAAUAAGGCCUACAAUCCUUUCCUAAACCAAGUAUAUCUCAGAAUUUCGCCUCAACAAACAUUUAGGACAAGUUCAAGAUCAACAUUGCAAUGCAAUGAAUUAAACUAAAGCUCACCACAGAAUGCACAUUAAAUGCUGAGGUUGGUUUCGUUCUUGUCUUAGAUUUAUGCAAGAGAAUUUUUCAAGUGUUACUCGGGUGUGAUAAAAGAUACCAAAAGAAUCUAUGGUUUAUUAUGAAGUCGGUCCUUUUCAUCAUACCAAUUUGUUCUUUCUCAUGCACACUCCUAACUGUAUUGGUACCAACUAAGUCAAAAUUAUUUUUUUAUUUAGAAAAGAAAUGGGACUGAACCUAAAUGAGGGUUGCCUACGUAUCUUGUGAAUACAAGAAUCAGGUCUGCGUAGUUCAGGAAAAUUUGUGAAUUUGUAUGUGCAAUGUAUGAUUGUAAAAAAAUGAUGGUCAUUCUCGAAAAUAAUAUGAAAGGCGAUCAGGAAAGAAUUAUUUUUAACAUCAAAAUUAUUCUGAUCAAAUGAUCGAGAGAAUGGAUGUCAUGCAUAAGGAGAGCUUUGACACAACUUCAGUAUACUGACAAGAUUGAAAAAGUCAAACACUAAAGAAAUUACGACAUUAUUUCGCCGCAGUUGGCAAGAUUAUUAUAACUGAAAAAAUAUAUAAUCCUUGCGUUUGAAAGUAAGGAUCGAUACACCAUAAAUUUAAUGGUUUAUGAUGUUCGAAAUAAGAAGUUAGAUAUUUUCGCAUCAAAAUUGGGUGAGUAUCUGGAGGUAGGCCGACUGGACACUAAUGUAAUUAAGAUUUGGAUUUGAGGAGUUAUUGAUUUGCGCUCUUGAAGAAUUUUGGAGAGCGGUUUUUAACUAUUUCAGAAAAUUUCACCAUUUUUAAAUACCGGAGAAAUCAUUCUGAAAUAAUGAAAAGACUGAACCCUAAUGUAGGGUUGCCUAUAUAUCUUGUCAGGAUAAGAAUCAGGUUAAAACGUAGUUCAAACCUAUACGCAGUUAGUGCGAUGUUGGUAAGGUGUAUCUUUUAACAGAUCAACCAUGCAAAACAAAAAUUAGAUUACAUCUUCCCACAAAAGAAUAAAUAAUUUUGAAUAAAUAAAUAUGUAUAGACACAAUAAUCCUUCAAAUAUGUACAAGGACUAUAAUAAUGUGUUACGUGAGUUGUGAACCCUUCGAACAUAAAGUAGACUAAUGAUGCAUAUGCAUAAAAAGGUGUUGUUUUAUCUCUAUCCUAUGUUCGACUAAGAGUGAGUGUGCUAGACCUGUGGUUCUCGAGCGAACUACUCGAGUGAGAAGGUUAUGCAGGUACACAGAAAAAGAUCCGGAUACCCCGCGCAUACGCCAUCUCUCCUGAAAUUUAGGAUUUUGAAAGAAAUUUGUGGGUGCGCAAAACACACAUCACUUGUAUGUGUGAUUAUGUCAGCUUUCCCAAAUGGAAGAAAUAUGAACGGAAUGAUAGUUUAUAUAAAGCAAUAAACUGCAAAAUAAAUCAAAUAAAUAAUCUAUGCCACACAAAUAGGAUAAAUCAAGAUAAUUAGAAAGAAACAAAUAAUAAUGUAUAAAAAUAUAAAUAUUUACCUAAAUCUGUAAUGGUUAGAACCUUGCUAGUCUCCAGCAGAGUCGUAAAACUAUCAUACCCAAUGUUUACCUAAGGUCAAAACAAACACGACAUUCUAGACUAAAAAAAAAUUAAUUUUGUACGAAGUCACCACCUAAUUUUUAAGAAAAAAUAGGAAACCUACUUAUUUAUUAACAAGUAUGCCUUUAUUUAAUGUACGAAACCAGUUUGAAUUCUAGGUCAGGGUUCAAAUUAUUCCGAAGGGAGGGAUUAGGCACCCUUCAGAAUCCACAAAUAUGGUACCUGACCAGCCUUAGGUUUAUUAUUAAAAGAUAAAAAGAAAAAUCAAUGUUUGAAAAUACAAAAAUAAUAUAAUACAUAUGUUUAUUGUAAAAUGUAUAUAUAAACGCACUUAAAGAUGUAUAAACAAACGUAUAUAAGGAUAUAUAUAAAAAAAAAAAUUGAAUAACAAAACAAAUUGUUUUUAAAGAAAAAUUUACAUAAUAUUUUUUAGUGUAAAAAGUGUGAAUUAUUUAAUCAAAUAUCUAAAUUAAUUUUAAUCUAACUAUUAACAGCCUAAAUUUGCUUAACACGUGGUAAGGAUUGUAUAAAUAAAGAACAUCCCCACCCAGCGCCCCAAAAAUAAAGAUUUCACUAUAAUUAAUAUUUGUACAAUGAUAAGAAUAAAAGAAAAUACAAAUACAAAAAAAUUCAAGCUCUUCUUUGAAUAUCAUUCCCGGCGAGUAUUCUCGAGAACCUGUAAAGAAAUUAUAAUAAAAAUAUUAGUAACAAAUAAAUAAUUAUCAAAAUAAAUUUAAAAGAUAUGUGUGCAUAUAUGUAUUUAAAAAUAUAAUUUUUUGCUAAAAGAUGGGCUCGAAUUAAAUUUUACAUACGCCAUGGCUACGAAGUGGUUGCUCAAUUUGCUGGUUGUCCUAAAUCGUCUUGCCAAGAUACGAGUCAUAAAAUCUUUUGCGUUGUAAUAAAAAUUUCAUCAUUGACCAAAUUUAUUUAUUUUAUUAUGUAUUUAUUUACGUAACAUCCGUCUUUUUAUUUGUGGAGGCCUCAGAAAUCGGCAAAAAAAUUUCUUCAUCGGCCAUGUCAUAUAACAUUUGUUCAUUGUAAGUGUUAUAUCAAAUAAAAAAUAAAUAGGAAGAAUUCCAAAAACAAUCAGUCCAUAUUUUUCAGGAAUAAAUGUGAACAGUUGACAACAACUAAUAAAAUAUUAAAAAAGAAUCAAUAAAUAUACGGAGCAGUCAAUAGAUCCAAAAGGGUGAGACAGAUACCCAAAAUCAUAAACAGGUUCAUGGUCAAGCACCAUUCAUCAUAGAAGUCCACAAUGAUCACCAAUAAGAUUAGAAAUACCAUAAUUUAAAGUUAACAAAGACAACCAUAGACAAGACCAAACAAAUAAACGAGCUAAAAAUGAAUUAUCGGAGUGAAAUUUUUUGAUCAGGUCUAGUGCGUUGAUGGUGGUGAACAUCAUUUAUAAAUAAUAAAUAAUAAAACAGAUGAGGUAGGGAGAGGACUAGCGGCGGUGGUGCGGCUAGAGGUUUGUGGAUUCGCUUACCGGUGGCUAACUCCGGUAAAGCAACAGUGGAGAAGGAAAUGGGGUGGCGGCAAUUGGUGUUGCUGGAUCGGCACUGGUUAAAUCAGCGGGAAGCGGCGACGGGGAGGAAGAACAGAGGUGAAUAGAGAAGAGAGGAGGAGUGGUUGAAGGCUAGUGGUGGUGCGGUGAUUCUCCAGCUGAAAUGUGGCCGAAGAAGGUGGGCAACGACUUUUUUUGUGGGAGAUGAGAAGAUGUGGGUGUGCGUAAAUUGUGUGUGUGGAUGUGUAUUUGUGUUAAAGUGUGUAUUGUAUAUGUUAAAACAAAAAUUAACCCCCUCCCUUCUUAUAAUAAAAAUUGACCCUCUCAAUUGUCCAAAAAAUAAAAAAAUUGACCUCUCUUGUCUCCUCAAAUCUUCUUUUAAUACGAAAGUUAUUAACCGAAGAAUUUUACAUCCUUUUAACCUAUAUAUAAAAAAUAUUUAUUCAACGGAUGAAAAUCUCAAUCCGUCACUUCAAACAUCAACUUUUAAAAAGUGACGAGACCUUGACCUGACUGAUUUAUUGCUCUGUGUAUAAAAAUAAUCGAGCCAUCAUUAUCGUUUGCAAACUAUAUUAAAUAAUGUACAAAAAUAUAAAUGUCGAUGUAUAAUUACAGAAAAAAUGUAAACAACAAAUAAAAUACAAUUAUCUUUAAAAAAAAUGUAUUGUGCUAUAAACAAUUAAAAUUAUAAUUAUGUCAAAAGAAUUGUAGUGUUAUGUUAUGUAUGUAUGUAGAUAACUGUGUAAAAAAUAUUAAAAUGAUAACAAAUUGAUAAAAAUUCUAAAAUAAUAAAAUUAAGGAUAAUUAUGUAAAAAUUAAAAUCUGACAAUAAAGUAAUAAAAAUUCUGAAAUAAUGACAAUUAUCAAUAAUUUAUUAAAAAUAUGUAUAAAAUUACAUUUUGUGUCGUUUAACGGUCACAAAGCCCGAAACAGUUAAUUUUAGGCACGGAGAGUCAAAAUUGGGUGCCAACAAAUUUCAUUCAUUUGUUUGAGUUUAAAACGACCUAAUUGAAAGCUAUCAUUCUAAUACACAUUAAGAAAUUAAUUUCUAAUUUUGGUCAAAUGUUUAGUUCAUAGAAGACGAUCGGAUUCUUAAGUGACAUUUCGAUUAUAUACUAAACAUGAAAUAUUUAUGUCAAAUGAUUUGCUUGAAUGUGUAACUUGCAUGCAUAAUUGAUAAAAUACUUGUGUGAUUGUCUCUUAAUAACAGACAUGGCAUCAAAAAACAUAAUUGUUGACUUGAACAAAAGAGGAAAACUAAAUGGAGACAAUUGUGACAUUUGGAGUCGUAAAAUAUGGUAUGUACUGAAACAGCAAAAUGCUCUUGAAGGUAUUAACCAUGUCUUAUGUCUACCAUAAGAGGGAAAUACUGCACAACACAGAAGAGACCUUGAAGCUUAUAAGGCUUGGAAAAAGGUUGAUUCUAUUGUACGUGGAAUCAUUGUAAGUUCUAUGGUUGAUGACCUCAUACAUGAGUGUGAGGAAUUUCCUACUGCCAAUGCCAACUGGGCACACUUGAAAGGAACAUAUGAGGGUACUUCAAUCACCCGCCUCAUAUAACUGACUAUCAAGUUUGACAAUGACAAGAAGCGUAAUGAUCAUAACAUAAAACAACACCUUAGGGUGAUGUCUAAUAUGAUACCUCAGCUUAAAAGUGUUGGUUAUGUUUUCUCAGAUGAGCAGCAGUUUCAGUCAGUGAUCCGAUCUCUUCCCAACAGUUAGAAACACAUAAAGGUCAACUUAACCCACAAUGAUAACAUCAAAACAUUUUUUGAUGUUGCCCAUCAUGUUGAACUUGAAUAUAAGUAGUUUGGUGCUGCUAAAGCUGCUUCAAAUACCUUUAUGGAAAAAUCAAGUGGUAAGAAAUCUUCAGGAUUCAAGCAUAAGAAAAAGUGAAAAAAGAACGAGAAGGUAAAAAGACCAAAGAAGGACCUUUCGAGAAAAAUAACAAGCCAAAUUCCAAGAAGGGAAUUCAAGAAGAAAGACAAGAGAAGGAUAAAAUGCUACAACUGCCAAGUUCUGGGAAAUUUUGCUCGUGAAUGUCCUGGGGAGAAAAAGGUAGGAUUUCUAAACGCAUCUCUAAGUGCUACAAAUGUAUCUAGCACUGCUUUAUUAACUGAAUUGUAUCCUAUAUGGAUUGUAGACUCAGAAGCCACCAACCAUGUGAGUCGAGAUCGAGAAGAGUUUGUGGAGUUCUGUAGAGUUUCACAUGUAUCAAUGUGGAUAUAUGUAGAAAAUAAUGCAAGACUUGAAGUCAAAGGGAUUGGCACUUGCAAAGAAGAUUUGUGUGGAAGCCGGUCUUUAAUGUCGCAUGACGUCCUAUAUGCUCCAGAAAUUCUUCUAGAUGUUGGUUUUCAUUUGUUUUUUAGUCUUAAUUUUGUAAGAAUUACUCUAUAUAAUAUUCUUUUAUGGUUUUGGACAUCGCUAUGAUCGCUUUAUUCUUCUGAAUUGUAAUUCUUCAACUUAUGACUAUUAUGUUGAUCGUUGUAUAAUAUCAUGUUAUUCAAGUAAUAAUGAUGUUGAUAUACUUACAUGGCUUGCUAGAUUGGGUCACAUAGGGCAAGACUGAAUGAAUAGAUUGACCAAAAAAGGACAUCUAGGUUCUUUCUCCAAAAUUUAAAUGCCAACUUGUGAAAAUUAUCUUACCGAAAAGAUUACACAAAAACUAUUUAGGCUAAAAGAGCCGAAUUCCCAUUAAAAUUAAUCUAUUCUGAUAUCUGUGGUCCAAUGAAUGUGAGGGAAAGGACUGGUGCUUCAUUUUUCAUUACAUUUAUUGAAGAUUUCACGUGCUUUGGUUAUGUCUAUUUGAUAUCUCAUAAAUCAGAAGCACUUGACUGUUUUAAAAGAUAUAUGAAUGAAGUUGAGAAUCAAUUAGACAAAAGAAUAAAGGCAUUAUGAACCGAUAAAGGUCGUGAAUAUUUGUUAAAUCAGUUUGAAGAACUGUGUAUUGAAAAAGACAUUAUCGAACAAUUGACAACUCCUUAUACACCUCAACAAAAUGGUGUAGUGGAAAGAAGAAAUAGAACAUUGUUGGAUAUGACAAGGUCCAUGAUAGCGCAGACAAAUUUAACAAUCUCUUUCUGAGGAGAUGCAUUAUUAAUUGUGGCCUACAUAUUGAACAAAGUGUCUUCUAAAUUAGUAUCUUCUACGCCUUAUGAACUAUGGACUGGUAAUAAACCAAACUUUAAUAAUCUACAACCUUGGGGUUGUACUGCAUACAUUAAAGAUCAUUUUGGUAAGUUUGGAAAACUAAGUCCAAAAGGAAAGAAAUGUAUCUUAAUAAGAUACUCAGAACACUCCAAAGGAUAUGUGUUCAUUGAUGAAUUGGAAGAUGGAAGUACUACUAAAAUUAAAUCACGAGAUGUCACAUUCCUGGAAAAUGAUUUGUCAAAAGAGGGUGAAAUAAAGGGAAAUGAGCCUCUAUACAAAAUGCUGAAUUCAGAUGAUCAAAUAAGGUUGUCGGACAUGCUUGAUAAUUCAAUGGAACAAGAAAUGAUUCUUGGUCCAAGUGGGAGUUGUGAAUCCCAAAAUCCUAUUGAGGAAUCUGAACUUUAAUUAUGUAAAAGUACUAUAAAAGGAGUGCCUAAACGAUCUUAUGAGAUUGAGGAUUAUGUUUUUCUGGUAUCUCCCACAAAAUUGGAUGAACCUAAUUCUGUGACUGAGGCUUUAUCGAGUCCUGAGAAAGAUGAAUGGAUAAAAGCGAUGAAAGAAGAAUUAAAGUCCAUGAAAACCAAUAAAGUCUGGGAUCUAGUUGACCUUCCUUGUGGGCUUAAAGCUAUUAGGAAUAGCUGGAUUCUCAAAGUUAAGCGCAAAUCAGAUGGGCCAAUAGAAAGGCACAAAGCACGAUUGGUGGCAAAAGGUUUUACUCAAGAAGCUGGAAUAGAUUAUGAGGAAACUUUUUCAUCAGUUGUGAAAUUUACCUCAAUUUGAUUAAUUUUAGCUAUAGUUUUACGUUUAGAUUUAGAAUUACAUCAAAUGGACGUGAAGAUCGCUUUCUCAAUGGAGAACUAAAUAAGGAAAUCUACAAGGAACAACCUGUAGGUUUUGUUAUUAAAGGUCAAGAAAAAAAGGUUUGUAAAUUAAACAGAUCAAUAUAUGGCCUUAAGCAGUCUUCAAGGCAGUGGUACCUAAUAUUUCAUAAGAAAGUGAUUUUAUUUGAUUUCACCAUGAUCGAUGAAGACCAUUGCAUCUAUGUGAAAAGUCCAAUGAAAUGUUUGUGAUUCUUUCACUUUACGUGGAUGAUAUUUUAUUAGCUAAAAAUAAUUUGAAGUAUGUAAAAGCUGUUAAGUCAUGGCUUUCAAAGUCAUUUGACAUGAAAGAUAUGGGUGAAGAAUACUAUAUAUUUGGUGUUAAAAUCCAAAGAGACCGUUCCAAGAAAAUUGUAAGUCUAUCUCAAGAAACAUUCAUAAUGAAAAUUUUGGAACAUUUUUGAAUAAAUAGUUGCAAAUCCAUGGUUAAUCCUAUAGCAAGAUGUGAAACUUUAAGCGUUGAAAUGUGUCCAGAGACUGAAAAAGAAAAAUAAGACAUGUCUCGAGUACCAUAUUCCAGGUGCAAUUGGGAGUUUGAAAUACGCUAUGAUGUGUACUCGUCUAGACAUUUGUUAUGUCGUAGGUCUGGUUAGCAGGUAUCAAUCCAAUCUUGGAAGAGAUCAUUGGAAAGCAGUAAAGGAAAUUUUUUGAUACGUGAAGGGAACUAUUGAUUAUUUAUGAUGCUAUAGUGGAUCUGAUUUAUCCAUAAGAGGUUAUACAGAUACUGAUUGGGCAGGUGACCAGUAUGAUAGAAAAUCAACUUUCGGUUAUGCCUUCUUGCUAAAUGGUGGUGUAAUUUCAUGGAAAAGCAAGAAACAAACUUGCACAGCCCUGUCGACUAUGGAAUCUGAAUUUGUGGCUUGUGCAUCUGCAGUACAAGAAAUUGUUAGGUUAAAGAGAUUCUUUGAGCAUUUGAACAUCGCAAAAAAAUCUAAGGGUUUCAUGAUUUUAUAUUGUGACAGUCAAGUGGCUAUCGCAGAUAUGAAGGAUCCUAAAUAUCACAGCAAGACCAAGAAUAUUAAUAUUAAGUAUAACUUUGUAAGAGACAUAGUAGCAAGUGGAGAAAUAAAUUUACAAUACAUUCCUACACGAGAAAUGAUAGCUGAUAUUUUUACUAAGGCGAUAUCUAGAGACUUGUUUGAAAAACAUGUUAUGGCUCUAGGAUUAUGUAGGAUAUGAUUAUGUUAUGUAUUGUAAGAUGACUUGAUUGUAAUUAUUAUCAAUAUAAGAAUCUUGAAUUUAAGUUCAAUCUAAUAUGCAUGUAAAAAUGUAUUUUAUUAAUAUAGUGUGUCGAACAAUUUGCGAGAUUGGCUCUCUCACAUGAGCAAUCGCCUCUUACGUCAAGAAACAUGAAGAAAAAAGUUCCACCAUAAGAUAAUGACUUAUUUUAUAAAGCCAUGUGUGAGUUUCUCUAAGAAUAUGGAUUUGAGGAUUAUUAGAGAAAGAAACUCAGGUUAGACAUUUAGAGGUGUCUAGACCUAGAUUGUACGAUGUUGAAUGACUAAAAGAAUGAUACACGCGUACUAAUAUAAGGUGAUAACAUUGUAGCACGUGUUUCAUACCACGUGUGCUUAGUGACCAAUGGGUUAAUGGAAGAAUGAAUCCCUACUUCUUCACUGUGUAAGACCCUCAAAGUUAUUUUAACUUUUCAUUUAAAUACCCUUAGACCUUUAAUUAUUUCUUAAAGUUUCGGUCGGAGUUGCUACUUUAUCAUAUUACUAAUAGCCAUGAGAGAUUCGACAAUGCGGUGCAUGUCUAAGAAAGCAGUUGAUUGGAACAGAUAGAUUCGAGUAGAAAGAAAAGACAAUUAAAAUGAGUAUUUUAACUUGUUUACACAAGCCGGCUAUUACACUAACCAUAUAAGAGUCAAGUGUAAUUGUGUCUAUAAAGUUAAUCAUGAACUCGAGUUCACCUCUUUAAGAGGAUGAGGGGUCGGAUAAGUAACUACUAAAGUAGUCAAUGAUGUCUGGGGUAUUGUGAGUAUUAGUAUCCUCAUAUUAGUAGAGAAUUCUUUCCACAUGUGAUUGGAUUCCUAAGUAUAGCUUGUAAAAUCUUAUAGGUAAAGUUUGUAAUGCUCACAGGUUGCACAAACCAUUUGUCGUAUGAAUUUUUGAUUUGUUGAUGUCGUACAGGCUCAGGUCAUGUCUGACACCCCAACUUAGGAAGGAGUCCUACAUCGACAAAAUACAGGAGGGAUGUUGGGUAUAUAAGUGAGAAAUCCUUACUCCCUAGUGAUGCGUUUUAAAGCCGUGUGGGCCUGGGCCCAGAGCGGACAAUAUCACUAGUGGGUGGAAGAGUUCAGGGAUAUCUCGGGCCUGUGUAGUUCAGGAUGCCCGUCGUGGCUAGGGCCUCAGGCCGGGUCAUGACAGAAUGGUAUCAUAUCCGCUCCUGUGUCUUUCUUGUCGAUGUGGGCCAGAGUUUAAACUGAGUGUAGGCGAAUCCCAGUAAGACGGGGAAAACCUCAGUCCUAAGUAUAGGCAAAUCCCAUUCGGUGGGGCAAACCUCAGAAAGGAUGCUGAGUCCAUAAAAGAGAGUGUAUGUGACACCCCAACUUAGUAAGGAGUCCCACAUCGACCAAACACAGAAGGGAUGUUGGGUAUAUAAGUAAGAAAGCCUUACUCCCUAGUGACGCGUUUUAAAGUUGUACAGGCCUAGGCCUAGAGCGAACAAUAUCACUAGUGGGUUGGACAGAGACAGGGGUAUCUCGGGCCUGUGUGGUUCGAGAUGCCCGUCGUGGCCAGGGCCUCGGGCCGGGUCGUGACAUCAUGUCCACCAUGUGUGAAGUGAGAGAUGUUGGAUUAUGGGUCAUGAGUCACUCAUGUGGGCUGACUCGACCCAACUCGUUUCUUAGUCAGAAAAAUAAGAUUAAGAUAUAAUCUUAAUUCAAAAGAAAAGGGGCGAAUGGUUAUAACUGUUCCUGCCCUAAAGAACCCCUAUAUGAUCUUUUCUUUUUUCUGACAAGUGAAGAUACACAUACAAAAACAGAGAGAAACAGAUUGGGUCAGAAGAAAAAGGAAUCGAAAUUAAUGACAAAUACCAAAAUGAAGGCAUAUAGUUUGCGAUUCGAGCUUUGUUUCCAAGUGAUUCAAAGCAAACUUGGGCAGAUCCUUUCGGAAGCAAAAUUGAUUUCCGCUGCAAAUUAAAGGUACACUAUUUUGCUCCGAAUUUUACUACAAGCUCCAAUACCCCCAAAACCCAUGUUCUAAUAAUUCAUCACCCCAUUAUGUUUUAUUUCUUUCAAGGAAGAAUUCCUCCACCUAAUGGUACGUGUGGAAAAUAUUGUAGAGUGCUUAGAGAAAAAUAAGGUUAGUAUUGUGAAAGAAAUUUAUUUGUUGAAGAAAGUUUUCAACUUAUUGAGAGUUUGUUCGAGUCAUACAACAUUGUCAUUCAGUUAUUGUAUUAUGAAGGAAACAAGUCAGGAGAAUUACUAUAAGAUUAUGUGAAGAUUUUGAUGCAAUGGACUUAUAUCUCCUUAAGAAGAGCGAGAUGCGGCGAUCAGAAGAAUGGAAUCUCUCCAUCCAUAAUUGAAAUUUUGGUUUAGAGAUUUGAAAAUUAGGAGUUAAUUUUUUGUUAGAGAGUUCUUUCCCUUUUAAUAGAGCUUAUACGUGUUGCCAAUUUUUAAAUUAAUAAGGCUAGUGAAUUCUAAAGCCAAAUAGUUGAACCAUAAAACAAAAUAUUAACUUCCAUUGAUCCCAAUGUGAUCUUGAUUUUGGUAUCAAGAUUAUUGAUAUAUUGUUGUAUCUGUUUAUUUGAUCGGGUUGAUUCACCUGUUUUAUCUCACUGUACAUUCGUCUAUUGCAGUACAAAGUUUGGGUCAACCUUGAUUUCAGCCGCCUCAACAUGUUGAUUUCAAUCCAAAUUUAGAAAAUCUUUAUAUAUUAUUUUAUUCUUUUUAUACAUUCUAGAUAAAUAUUUAGUAUAUAUUUCUACCUUAUUCAGGAGUAUAUCCUACCUUAUUUUAGAAUGUAUCUCUUUAUUAUUUUAUACCUUAUUUAAACAUCAUUUUGUACUUUAUUUAGACUUCUACCUUAGAUGAUUUGGAGUCGGUUUAAUGUUAGGUUUUAAUUUGGUUUAUUUUAUUUCAUCACUUGUAUAAAUAAGACAUUGUACCUAAUUGUAUUCAUCCAAUAUUCAUCAAUCCAAGUAUUUAUUCCAUACAAUCAAUUCAAUUCAAAUAAUUCAUUCAAUUAUUCAAUUUAGAAUAUCCAGUUUUCGUUCAAUUCAACUUAUUCAAUCAUUCACAUUAUUCAAGUCAUUCAAAUCAAUUCAAUUCAUUCGGUAUACAUUGGAUUAUUCAAGAUAUAUAUAUAUGUGUAUCUGAUUUGGAGUUUCUCUCCAUCCUCAAUGAUUUUUUUAGGAAAGAAAAUCCAAUUCGAUUUUUUGCCUUUAACUAAUUUGGAUUGAGUUUUAAGAUUUAUAGGAUUUUCUUUUAGACUAUGUCAAAUCUUUUGAUUUUGACUCUUUGUUGGAACCGUAAAUUUGAGGGGAAAAAUUAAAAAAUAUGUGGAUAAUUACAUAUUUGAUAGUCCAAAGACUUGUCGCUUUCAUUUUCUAACAUCAGACAUUAAUUUAACAAAAAAAAAAAAGAUAAAAUCCAGCAAUUAUUCGCUUUACAUCUCAUACAAUUUUCUUUCUAAGUAGGUUUUAUUCUCUCCGAAAAUUAAUUUUUAUUGUUAAUUUUGGAUUAAUGAGGUGUAAGUUCGUCAAUGUACUUGUGAUGUUGAUUAUUGAUAUUUCUUUGUUUUUAUUAUGAUUGUAGUUUUUUCGUGGCAACGCUGUGUUUGUGUGGUUGCAUGAUAUUCCAAUUAACCCGUAGCGUUUUCGUUGUCGAAAUAAAUUUGUGCAAGUAUUAUAUGUUUAUUGUUUUGUACCAUUGAGGUGUGUCUUACUGACAAAUAUGUUAAAUAUGUGCCGACAUUUUAAUUAGUGGUACAAAAUCAAUGUUGAAAUAUGUCAUAAUAAAAGAAAAAAAAAUUGAUAUUAUAGUGAAUGUCUAUAAAAAAUAUAAAUAAGAUCUAUCAACAUCUAAUAAUAUCUAUCAAGAUCUAGUUGAUAUCUAUCAGGAUUUGAAGUAUUGUCUUUUAUUCAGAAACUAGGAGUAUUUUCCUGUAUAAAUAGAGUGGUCUUGUACAUUGUAUCCUCAAUCUUAUGAUCUCUCAUACUCAAGAGAAAUAAAGAAGUCUACAUCUUCUCUCUCUAUUUAUUCUUCUUAUUUUUACUUUUAUAUUUCAUAACACGUUAUCAGCACGAGAGUCUCUAAUUUUUUAAGUUUAGGAAAUGGUAUGCUUGAAUUUAGGCCAAGGUAUCAUGUUGAGUUCUGCCAAAGUAGUUUUUUUUAUUUUUGGCAUAAUACAUAAAUAUGACCCUAAACUUGACACUAAAUUAUAAUUUUGACCUUAAACUUUGACAGUGCACAAAUAUGACCUUUAACUAUUCAAAACUGCACAACAUGACCUUCGAUCCUACGUGGCAAAACGCGUGUUCAACACGCAAAAUUGGGUGCGUCCAACUUAAAAUCUAAGGGCAUAAUACAUAAAUAUGACCCUAAAUUUGACACCAAAUUUAUAACUUUGACCUUAAACUUUGACGGUGCACAAAUAUGACCUUUAACUAUUCAAAACUGUACAAAUAUGACCUUUAAAUGACUUUUCACUAUUAUUUUGUCAUUAUUUUUGGCUCAAAGGUGAUAUGGCAUCUAAUUUCUUUUGUCAUUGCAGAAAAAGAGCAAUAUUGAAGAUUUAUUAAUUAGGUGGGUCAGCCUCAUACGAAAAAAUUGCGCGGGUAUAUAUAUAUAUUAUAAAGCAAAGGGCGAAUUUAUGUUAUACAAUAUAUCUAAAUAUAAUUUAUUUAAAUAUUAAAUUAAAGAUGAAACUAUACUAAUAAUAAAAAAAACUAUAGUUUUAAUAAAACGUUAUUAAAUUAACGUUAUUAAGGAUAGUAGUAGCAGUAUAUUAAAUUAAUGUUUAAAAUGUUAGUAUUAAAUUAAAGUUAUCAAAACGUUAUUAAAUUAACGCAGGGGCGGACCUACGUGGUUGUCAUGGGGUUCACCGAACCCCCUCGGUAAAAAGAUUACAUUGUAUAUAUAAGGUAGAAAAUCUAUAUUUAUGUACGUAUAUUAAUGUUGAACCACAUGAAAAAAGGCACUUAGAUAGCCCAGUGGUGUUAUUUGUUCUUCUUGGGCGCUUCCUUCAGCCUACUGCGCAGAUUCGAUCCCUGCUAGUGGCUUUUUUUUUUAAUAAAAAAAGUUAGGUGUUGCUGCUAUAAAAAUAAAUAAAUAAAUAAAUAAAUAAAUAAAUAAUAAUAAAUACCAACUCUUUUGUAAGUAAUUACACUCUCUCCCACUUUUUAAUACACAUAACAUAGCCGACAUAUACAUAGCAUUUUGUGUAUAUGUUGGAAUUUUUGUAAUAUGUUUAGGGAGUUGAGAUUUUUUGUAAUAUUGAAAACAUAAGUUGUGUAUUCGUGUAAUUUUUAGUAAUAAUAAUAAUUUUAAAAAAUGACGCCAUUUUAACAUAAAAAGAAAAAUUUUGACAGUGCACAAAUAUGACCUUUAACUAUUCAAAACUGUACAAAUAUGACCUCCCUCCAAGUCAGCCCUUUUAACGACGUGGCACCGUGUGAUUGGAUGAGCUUUCCACGUAGGCGCGAGUGAAACUCAUGCAUGGGGGUUGCAAAAUCAGAGGUCAUAUUUGUUCAGGUUUUGAAUAGUUAAAGGUCUUAUUUGUGCACUAUUAAAGUUUAAGGUCAAAGUUAUAAUUUGGUGUCAAGUUUAGGGUUAUAUUUAUGUAUUAUGCCUUUUUUUUCACAUUCAGGUAACUUAAUUACCUAUGUUACAUGUCAAGGACCUAAAUACUCCAGUAUAAUGAAUUGCAUAAAACUCACUUGCAGCCGCUAUAUGUAUUUAAAUUUGUUAAUUAUGAAAAAAUAUUAUUGAAUAUCACGGUAAGGAAUUAUUCUCCUAUUUAAAUUUGAUCAUUGAACACAUUACUGUACACUUCAAGCUCUUUUUUAUAAUAUGUUUUGGUUCCAAAAAUCGACAAAAGCAUAGAAUCAAUAUUCUUUGGAUAAAUAAGAUUUACUUUGCCUAAUCUUGAGGUUCAGAUUUAAUCAAGGAUACAGGUAAAGUAUAUUAUAUUUUAUGCUUUUAUUAUAUUCCAAAUAUAUAAAGUUCCUUAUGGUACUAAGUUAAUUCAAGUUGUCUUUAGUAUAUCAUACAGACAGUGGUGGCGGAGAAGGUUAAGAAGUGGUUUAACAUUUACUAUAUAUCCAUAAAAAUUAAUGUUUCUUUUAUGAAAAGUUGUUAACUUGUCCUAUUAAAUAUGCUCCAUUCUUGAAGUGAAUGUGAUAGCAAUAUAUGAUAUACUUUGAAAGAUAUGUAUGCCUCGAUGUGCUCCUGAAGUAGCAAUAUCAUGAAAGAGGUUAUAAGCUAUCAGAAUUUGAAAGGCUUAAGGAACGAUUAUAUUUCAUUCUUGGGGAAUGAGAAGCUUAUUAAUGCAAACGUGUACUUAAUUGUGAUGGUAUCACAACUCACCUCCGAAUGAGGUAGAAUAACUGAGAAGAGUUAUUUUGAAAUCUAAAGUAGUAAAUUUGAAUUUUUUUUCAUGUAAUAGUAAAUUUGAAAUUUACUAAAGAAAAAAAAAUACAUGUCAUGGUAAACUUGAAGUUUGAUACUAUAAAUAAGUUCAUAAGUUGACGUGGACAAUUAUGACAUCUUGAAGAUGUGCAUAUUGAGUAUUAGACAUGUAUUGAAGAAAUAAAAUAUUCUUCAAGAAUUGUUUAUGUCGCUUAUUCUCAUGAUAAGUUGGUUGGACCAACUAAUAUUGGGAUUGGAUCCCUCAAAUCUGAAAAGUUAAAAGGUGAAGAUGGGCCCGUUCACCAGUCAUGUGAUCUAUUAAGAUGCAUCGAUAUAAGAUGAUAACUUAUACGUUUAUUAUCAACCUGCAGUUUGACAUUCAUAAAGUUGCUUGCUCAGUAAAAUUGAGUUAAGAGCAUAACUUUCAGAUUGUGUAAUCAAGAUAAUACAUCUUGAUGAUGAUGGUUUGGCAUUGAAUGCCUUCGAUAAAUAGCUAAACCAUUGCUAAUGAGAACAAAGCUUUAUAUGUUGGUCUGAAAUAUGAUAUGUUGCAUAAAAUAGAACUUGUAUGCAUUAUACCAAUAAAUUAUGAUUAUUUCUUACCUCUCAAUUGGUUCAAGGUCUGGAACCAACUAUUCCAUCUAAUAAUUUUGAUGUGUGAUAUACGUUUAAUAAAUAUACCAUGAUGCACAAAGAUGGAUUCCUCAAAAACGGAUGGAGGAUAAAUGUUAGUUUUCCUAACAUAAGGAGGAGAUUAUAAGCAGCUAAGAAAUAUGUGAGGAAUCAUCAUUAGAUCCUUAUUCAAAAAAUAAUUCAAGUCAAAUGCUGAAAGCACCUUAUAUUUAAGCUGCAAGUGCUCCUAUUUUGUAUCUCUAAAGGACAAAGUCUAUGCAUGCAUGAAGCGUGAUAGACCAAUCGAUUCCAAAUGAAAUAAUCCUUGAAAAGGAUAAGGAGUAAAUAAUCAUAAUAAGAAGGAAAUGUGUUUUUGAUGCGCCUAUGACAUAAUACUUCAUGAAACCUUAUGACAGGUUCAGGUACCUAAAAAUAAUGAAGUGAUGAGAUCUCAAAACAUCAUGUAUCACUGUGAACCGAUACGAAAUGAUAUAUCGUUAAUAACUUUGAUACAAUAUUGGCACAAUAUUGUAAAAUAUUACGAGGAUAUGAAUUCUACGUUUAUUUAAGCAUGCUGACGUAGAAACAUUUAUCAAGUGACAUGAAAGGAUGCAUCUUGGUAAGUGUAAAACUUAUUUGAUUUGCAGUCAAGACACUUGAAGAUGUCACAUAUGAAAUGUUGAAUAUUGCCAUUUGACAAAUUUAUAUGAAACUUUCUAAGGACUCAAAAUGUUUGAAGCAUAUAAAAGUUUUUGAGAAACUUAUUUAGAAUCCUUAUAUUUGUAUAAACUUAUAGCUUGAAAAUUAUUGAAACUCUUGGAGAGUUUUCAAAAGAAAUGAUUAUUUGCUAAAAUGAGAAAUAUGAAGUAUCAUAUCUUAGUGCAUUUGAUGCACAAGUCUAAUGUAUCUUGGAAAUACUACAAAGCUUGAUAUAGUCUUUUCAGUCAAUUUGUUAACAAGAUAUAGUUCUGCUUCUAUUAGGAGACAUCAAAAUGGGAUCAAACACAUGAUCUUAUUUUAUUUCAAGAAUUACAGUCUCUAUCUUGUUAAUUAUGCUGAUGCUGGAUAUUUAUUUAACCCGCAUAAAUCUUGAUCUCAAACACACAAUUUGUUCAUCUGUGGGGAUACUGUCAUAUUUUGGAGAUAUACAAAGCAGUCUAGCGUAGCCACUUCAUCGAAUCAUGCUGAGAUAAUAGUUAUUCAUGAAGAGAACCUAGAAUAUGUGUGGUUGAGGUCCAUGAUACAUCUCAUUUGAUAAAAAUGUGAUUUGAAAUGUGACAAUGUACCCACAAUUUUAUACAGAGAUAAUACAGUACGCAUAGCACAUCUUAAUGGAGCAUUCAUAAAAGGAGAUAGAAUGACGCAUACUUCAUCAAAGCUUUUCUACAUACAUGAGCUCCAAAAGAAUGAUGAUAUUAACGUGCAUCUUCGUUCAAGUAACAAUGUGGCUGACUCAUUCAUCAAGUCUUUUUCAAUUGCAACUUUCAAAAAAAUGGUGCACAAGAUCGGGAUGCAAAGAUUCAAGGAUGUUCUCAUUAGAGGGAGUUAAUAGGCGUUUUACUCUUUUUUUCUUACGAGGUUUUGUCCCACAGGGUUUUUCUUGUAAGGUUUUUUAUGAGGCAGCCUAAAUGCGCAUUGUUAGAGAUGUGUACACUUUUUCCUUCACUAGAUUUUUUUUUUCUACUGGGUUUUUUCUAGUAAUGUUUUAACUAGGCACAUUAUCCAUCAAUUAGACAUUCAAGGGGGUGUGUUAUAAAUGUAUUUACAUUAUAGUGAAUGUCUAUAAAAAGCUAAUAUCUAUCAAGAUCUAAUAAGAUCUAUCAAGAUCUAGUUGAUAUCUAUCAGGAUUUGAAGUAUCUGUUUUUUAUUCAGAAACUAGAGUAUUUUUCCCUAUAAAUAAAGGGAUUUUGUAUAUUGUCUCCUCAAUCUUAUGAUCUCUCAUCCUCAAGAGAAAUAAAGAAGUCUCCCAUCUUUCUCUAUUUAUUCUUCUUAUUCUUACUUUUAUAUUUUAUAACAUAAUCAAAAUUUAAAAAAAAAAAAAACAUAGUAAAAAUCGUUAGACAUUGCGAACUAUAUAAAAUGAUGAAAGAUGAUAAGAAAGAGACUUCCUUAGCGAGCGCGUAAAUCAAAUGAAGUUGAAUUAAAUAGAGCUAAUAAGGAAAAUGUUAGUAGACUUCUUUCCAGAAGAUGAAAAUUCAUCUUUACUCUAGAUUGCGCUGCUCAUGCUCCGCAUUAUUUUUAUUAAACUUUGAAUUGUUUAUUAUUUAUAACUACAAAAAAGUAAUGAACAUUUAAUUUAUAUCUAUGCUUGGCCAACAAUUUUUUGUUAUAUACCUUAGACUCCAGAACAAAUACUUAGCAACAAAGUUUAGCUAAUAGAUACCGAUCCAAUUAUCUUAGGCUAAACAAAAGUUUGAGCCCAUUGAAUUGGUUUUCAACUUCAAUUUACCCUGAAUUGAUUCCUAGUUGUUUCUUAAAAGAAAAACUACACUGACAACGAUUUUUUGAUGAAUUUUCCUUUCCAUUCUCACUAAAGUUGAAUUUCUUAGUGAAAAUGAUAUUAGGUAGUUAUUUUUGUGAAGUAUAGUUGCUUGAACUCGUAGAAAUCAAAUUUGUGCAAGUGAAAUUUCAGAUCAUGUUUUGAAAUUCACAUUUUAUAAGUAAAACUUUAGUGGUAUGUGUCCUAGAGUUCAAACUUAUGCAAGUGAAAUGUGGAGUUUGAAAAUUGUACCAAUUUGAAAUGCGCAUGUGUAUCAGUUUACAGUAUUAAUUGUUCUUUAAAUUUUGCUUUCUUCUUUCAAUAUUCACCUCCGGACAUGUCAAAGUUGUAGUUUUUCACAUUUAAGGAACUAUAUAUGAUUUUGUUUAUCCUCAAAACUGUUGAGGUGCGGUAAAAUAUGUUACAGUAUAAAAUGCCACUAUAUAAAUUUUUAAGGCAUCUUUCUACUUUUAUUUUUUCUCUAUUUCUCACAUUCCUCCGUCUUGUUAAUGUUUACAACUAGGUUUUAAUUCUUUUAGUUUAUUUCUACAACAAGGUACUCUCACAUAGAUGUGGAAGACAUGCAACUUAUACUAAUGAUUUGUUAGAUAAAUCACUUGAAAUGUAUAUUUGGCUGAUUCAUCGCUUAUUCGAUGUUUCUAUCUUAAUUUAUCAUGUAAAUAAAAUGAACAUAUCUAACUUGUAAAACUUAGUUCCUUAGCAAAUAUCAUUAAACAGUUAACGUGUAAAAAAUUUAUCUUCUCAAUAUAGUAUAUUUAUGUUUUGCACCUUGUGAUACAUACUCGAAAUACAACUUUUAUUUGAUACAGGUUGGGCCAGUAGUGACACGAGUUAUACUUCUUUAAAUAUAAAGGGUCAAAACUACCGCUCUACUUUCAUAAAUUGGCUAACUUUAACUUUCAUCAUACUAUGUUGUCAGAUAUAAUUCUGCUGUUAAAAGAAAUUUCAGGAAAUUACAUAAGAUGACUCCAAUAAUAGGUGGUUUUGUAUUUUUGACCCCAAAUAAAAAUUCCCUAAGUAAAUAGCCUUCAGUAGUUUACUACCAUAUAAAAAUUACUCUUUUGCCCCUGAUCACACCUCUCUACUCUAUAACGCCUCACUCUUCUCUCCACCAGACUUCUCUCUUUUGUGAUUCUCUCUCUUUUAUUGCUCUCUUUCAAAUCUUCAAUUCUAGUGAUAUAUAGAAAAAGAUAGACAAACUUACGGUAAUUUCUUCAUCUUCAAGAUAUUGUAAUUUGUGGUUUUGUAUAUUUUUGAUAAUUUUACUUAAACAAAAGUUUUAGGGUUUGUAAUUAAUUCUAAAUUGGAGUCAUUGUUGGGUUUGAAAAUGGAGAAUCCCUUACCUAUAUAGCGUACUACAAAAAUGGUUUGUACAAUUAGCUUUCCUGAUGCUAUUUUUGCAAUCUUCUUAUUUCUUUGAUCGAGUCUUGCCUCUAAGGCACAAAUCAAAGAUGAUUUUAUAAAUUAAUGUGUAUGAUUUUGUGAUAAUUAUUGCCUCUUGGGGUUGUAUUUUGUUCUUUGAAAUUUUUGAAGAUACGUUUUGCCUCUUAGGCACGUGUUAUAGAGUAUCUUGUAAUUUAAUACAGAAUGGGUUAUUGACAGCUUUUGCCUAGGGGGGAGUAUUUUAUUUUUUUGACUUUCUUCGAUCAAAGCCUUGCCUCUAAGGCAAUAUUCAUGAUUUGCCUAUUAGUUGAUUUUGUGACCUCCCAAUCUUAUCAAGCUUGAUGUAGGACAACAAACAUUGAAGAUUGAAAAUAACUAGUAUUUUAACAAGUUUAUUUUAUAGUGCAUAUCAUGUUCAAAAUAAUUGCCCAAAAUGUACUUAUCAACUAGCUAGUAGAUUUGUUCAAAAUGUGCAUAUCAUAUUUUUAUUUUUUCCUAUUUUAUCUACCUAUUCCAUUCGAUUUUCCUCUUUAUGGAGUUACUUGUUGAUCGAAUGAAUGGUAGCUUCACCUUCUCUUUGUAUAGCUGGCAUUGUAUCUUCGUAAUAAUAGUUGCUAUCGACUUUAACUACCACAUUCUAGACCUACUGUAACACAUGCCCGCCCAUUAGCAGUGUUAACUCAAUAUUUCUUUUUUAAAAAGCUAUAGUUUCUCUAUAUAUUGUCUUCCCAUGAAAAAAGUGUAACAGAAACUCUUAAGCUUUGGACUUAAAUCGUCUUACAUUGUACAAGAUUUUAAAUUAAAAAUUUCUUGAUAAUUCAAUUAUUUGUAAAUGUCCAGAGUGUUCUUGUUAGUAUAUAUGUAUUUUAAAAAUCAAAAGUUGUUCUGUACUUUUUCUUGUGUAGACAUGUGUUGCUACUGAUGAAGAAAUAGAAUAUCCCUCAUGUUGCUUAUAAUUCUUGAGGACUUUUGUCUUCCAGCUUAAUUGACAUCAUUAUUGAUGUAAGUUUCUACUAAAUUUAAUUUAUCAUUUACAUAAUUUUUACAUCAAUGUCUAUCAGUACUAAAUAAAUGCAACUUCAUUUUUUAUAUAUAUUUUAUCGAGAAAGGAUUCUCCAUCACCCCCUCUUCCUUUAAAUAUAUUCAUUGAGAGAUAAUUCUUGACUCUAGGAUAAGAGUUAUAGAGCAUCUGUCAAAUCAUUACAUACUAAAGUAGUGUCAACUAUUAUUCAUAGGGUAUUUAUUCCUUUGUGGGCUAAGUCUUGCCUCUAGGGCAAGAGUUAAUGAGCAUCUAUUUAAUUAAUAGACAAUGCGGCAGGGCCAAUUCUUGCCAUGAGGCAUAACUUGUUCCUAUGGGAGCUAAGUCCUUGCCUCUACAUCAAGAUUUAUAAAUCAUCAACUAACUUAUUCAUGUUAUAUACAAGUGAUGAAUGUUUUCAAGAUAUCAACAUCAAGAAAAACUCUUCAAAAUUUAGAGAUUGUGUGUAACUUGUAUCUUAAUUAGAGUAAAUCAUGCAAACCUAUAUAUAAAAAAGUCAUAUAUGAUAUAAUAAAGUUUUCAAAACAUUAUCAUUUCUUUUUCAAGAUUGAAAUAGUAAUCUCCAAGUCUUAAAUUUUCAAUAAUUUAUUAAAUUAAUACAAACUAAGCUAGUGUUAACUCUUGUCCGUGGUACAUAACUUUUUCUUUUGAAGGAUAAAAGUCUUGUCUCUAGAGUAAGAGUUAUAGAUCAUCUGUCAAUUCAUUACAGACUAAGCUAGUGUCAACACUUUUCCAUGGGGUGUAACUUGUUCUUUUGGAUUUCUUAAAGUCUUGACUCUAAGAAAACAAUUAUAGAUCAUUUGUCAAAUUAUCACAGACUAAGUUAGUGUCAACUCUUACCUAUUAGAUAUAACUUAUUUUUUGGGGGGUCUGAAAGUAUUACCUCUUACAAAAGAGUCAUAGAUUAUCUACCAAAUCAUUAAAAACUAAGAAAAUGUCAACUCUUGUCCAUGGACUUGUUCCUUUGGUGUCUAAGUCUUACCUCUAGGACAAGAGUUAUGGAUCAUCUGCCAAAUCAUUAUAGACUAAGCUAGUGUCAACUCUUGUCCAUUGGACAUCACUUGUUCUUUUGGGGUCUAAAAGUCUUGUCUCUUGUGAAAUAGUUAUAGAUCAUCUACCAAAUUAUUGAAGACUAACGCAGUAUCAACUCUUGCUCAUAGAGCAUACUUGUUCCUUUGGUGUCUAAGUCUGGCCUCUAGGUCAAGAGUUAUAGAUCAUUUAUCAAAUUAUUAUAGACUAAGGUAAUGUCAACUCUUGUCCACGGGACAUAACUUAUUUUUUUGGGGUCUAAAAGUUUUGCCUCUUGAUCAAGAGUUAUAGAUCAUCUACCAAAUCAUUAUACACUAAGACAGUGUUCACUCUUUCCCAUUAAGCAUAACUUGUUUCUUGGGGGCUAAGUUUUGCCUUUGGGACAAGAGUUAUAGAGCAUCUGUCAAAUAGUACAGACCAAGGUAGUGUCAACUAUUGCCCAUAGGUCAUAACUUUUUCCUUUGCCUAAUUCUUGCCUUUAGGACAAGAGUAAUUGAGUAUUUAUCAAAUCAAUACAAACUAACAUAGUGCCACCUCUUACCCAUAGGGAAUAACUUGUAUUGUCCAUGCAAAAAAAUUAUUGCUACUUUACUAUGAUAUUUUUAUCCAAUGGUGAACUCUCUGUCACUCUCUUUUUCUUCAUAAAGUGAUGUUACCUUACCAAACACUGAUACCAUAUUUUCUGUAAAAGGUUAAUUUUUAUCUUGAGAUAGACAUUGACAAAUCUGAAAGUGACACUUUGCGAAUAAAAAUGAUGGAUGAUCUGCCGCAACAAACUCAAUGGUAUCUUCUUCCAUUCAUUUUUUAAAUUUUCAUUUCACUUCUUUUUUUUAUGCUUUUCAUAUAUUCGUGCAAUAUAUUUUAUUUUCUUUUACAGUGAUUGUGGAGCAUUUGUUUGUGCCUUUGCUGAAUAUUUCAUUCAUGGUAGAGAUAUUUCAAAAUAGAUUGACAUUGAUUAUAUUCGCAUAAGGUAAAGAGCUCAGUUAUGAAAUUAUGAAAUGGGAAAACUACAAGCUGGUAUAAAGAGCAACACUACAAAAAAAAGUUAGCAGAUAUUUGAAAAGGAAAAGAGGAAGAGGGCAUAUAAAGAGAAGUUUGUUUUGUUUUUAUUGAAAAUCACUUCACAUCAAGGGAUUUUGAUGGACUUAGCUAUUUUUAUGCAAUUAUGCAAAGUUCAAACACUUUUUUGAAAUUGAAUUUCUUGAUACGAUAAUGUAAAGUAUACAAUGUAGAAUAAUUGUUUAUUCAUUUGUUGGUUACCUUAUAUAUUUAUGUUUGAUUAAUUAAAAAUUAUUUUUUGCUUCUCCUUGUGCCAAGUCUUGUCCCUGAGCAAGAUUUAUUGAGUAUCUACUAAUUUAGUAGACAAUGUUGUUGGGUUUGAAAUCAAGAGCGCGUCAUGCGGAAGCUAUUAAUUGCAAGCUACGAGACGAUAAAUCAGACGACAAAGAAAAACUAAACUAAAAACAUAAUAUUAUUGAUGUGCUUUGGUCAAGAGACCUACAUAUCAAAAAUUUAAUAUCGAAAAAUAUUAAACCUAUUGGGAAACGAAUGGGAGAAAUCUCCCUCUAAACAAAAAUUCUUUAAAGACUACAUUAUGGACGCUAUUGUGUUUUUGAUAUGAGAAGGGAGGUCUUCUAUUUAUAGAUGUCCAAAAUCUUUCCUCCAAGAAAGAGGUUAGCCAAAUAUGAAAAAAUUUUAUGUUUUCCUUUCAGGAAAAGUAAAAGUAUUUAUGGACUUUUAUUUUUCUUACAAGUAAAAGUAAAACUUAAAAUUUGGUAAGAAAAUCGGGGAAAAAAUUCUAACAAAUGUGACAGGCCAAUUCUUGUCCAUGAGGUAUAACUUGUUCCUAUCGGGACUGUCUUAUCAUUACUUAUGUACAACUACUACAUGAUUAUUUUGAUCAUUGUGAACUUUUCAAUCAAAUGUGUAUCUUCGACUAAGUGGCAUAAAAUAAAAAACAAUUUAGAUUUUGUAAUCUAAGGUCAUCUACUCUUCCUCAGUAGUUGGUUUUCCACUUUUAUUAGUUUGGUUAGAUUCUUGAUUUGUUGAUUGGUAUCAUAUUUUUUUUAUACUUGCAAUUCAAUACUUUAUCAUGUUUUUCUUUUGGUAAUUUUUAAUCUUUAUUGUUUUUGUUCUUGGGUUUUACUAUUUAAAUUUUUUGUCUAGAAGAUUGAUUCACAUAUGGUUGUAAGAUUGUAAUAUUCUUGUAAACAUAUUUUGUAUGAAAGAAAAAGAAUGUUCUUUGAAAAAUUGUGAGUUGAACCACUAUAAUGCUUCCCUCUGAACCAAAAUUGAAAAAUUUAUAGAAAGAAUAGAAUCAUGCAAUCUGCCAGAUGUUUCUCAAAAUGGUACCAAUAUUGAUACUCUUUAUUGUUCUUGUUGUUGGUUUUUAUAUUUCUUUCAUUUUUCAUUUGCUUCUGAGUUAUUCAAAAAGUUUUAUGAGUUGAUAAAUUAAGAUAUCUUUACCGCGCAUUGUCUAUAGCAGAAAUUUUUUAUCAUAGCACAGUACCAUUAACAUUUAGUUUUGAGUUAGUUGAAACUUUAAAAGACUAACUAAUUCAUCCAAUUUUCAUCCUUAAGUUUCCUUCAAGGAAACGUUGAAUUGAUUAAGCGUUCUCAUCUUUACAGUUAAGUUAAUAGCCUCUAAGGCAAGAGUUAUAGAUUAUCAAUCAAAUAAUUAAAGAUUAAGGCACUGUCAAUUCUUUCCCAUGGUUCAUGUUAUUCCUUUAGGGUCUAAGUCUUGUCUCUAGGGCAAGAGUUAUAGGUCAUAUGUCAAAUCAUUAUAGACUAAGCUAGUGUCAGUUCUUACUCAUGGGGCAUAACUUGUUCCUUUGGGGUCUAAAAGUAUUGUUCCUUUGAUGUCUAAGUCUUGCUUCUAAGAAAAGAGUUAUAGAUCAUCUGUCAAAUUAUUACAGACUGAGCUAGUGUCAACUCUUGCCCAUAGGCAUAACUUGUUUCUUUGGGGUCUAAAAGUCUUGUUUCCUGGGCAAGAGUUAUAAAUCAUCUACCAAAUCAUUACAGACUAAGCUAAUGUCAACUCUUGUUCAUGGGGCAUAACUUGUUCUUUUGGAAUCUAAAAGUGUUGCCUCUUGGAAAAAAAUUAUAGAUCAUCUACCAAAUCAUUACAGACUAAGCUAGUGUCAACUCUUGCUCAUGGAUCAUAACCUGUUUGUUUGAUGGAUUAAUUUUUACCUCUAGGGCUAGAGUUUUAGAUCAUCUACCAAAUCAUUAUAGAUUAAGCUAGUGUCAACUCUUGCCUAUGUGUCAUAACUUAUUUCUUUGGGGGGCUAAGUCUUGCCUCUAGGGCAAGAGUUAUAGAUUAUCUGGCAAAUCAUUACAAAGUAAGCUAGUGUCAAUUCUUGUCCAUGGAGCAUAACUUGUUCUGCAUCUUGUCUUUAAGAAAAAUUUUAAAGUAUAUCCCGUGGGAUUAUUUAUAUCACUUCUCUUGGACUGCGGUCCUUCUUCGGAAGUUGUUAAUAUAAAAUAUUUUUACACAUCAAUAUAUAUAUAACUUCAACAUGUAAUAACUUUCAUAAACAAUCAAUAAGAAGGCAAGAGUUAAAUACUUCACCACAAGUUAAAACUUAGAAUCAAUGAGAAGACAUUUGUUCAACUUAUUUUCUUGAAACUCACAAGUACCUUUUACUAACUAAAAUAGGGGAUCGAAGAAUCUCAUUACAAUUGCUACUUUAAUCCAAGUUCUUGAAUAAAAACUAAAACUAAUUAUGUUUUUUUAUUCUUCUUUAUGUAUCUUCUUGAAUAUAAAUGGAUGACUGGAGUAUUGUGACGAUUUGAUCUGUUGUGUCUAAUUCUUUUGCAUCUUCAAUAUCUGAAAUUGUUUCUUGAAGAUUCUGUCCUGCAAGGAUAUUUGGUUGUUUUUCUUCUUUUGAGCAGAACCUUCACAUCUGGAGGAUUUGUGAUUAGAUCAUUUAUACUAUUUGGAACAAUCCAUGAUGUUGUGCUUCCAAUCGAUAGAAUUUCUCCUUGGUACGUUUGUAUCCAAGAUUGUCUUAAGAAUCAAUGAGAACAAUAGCUAGACUUGUUCAUAUUUCUGCUGUCUAUCACUGCAAUUACAUGGAUACAUGGUAUCUCAUCUCUUUGAAAUACCAGCAUUGUCAAGUCCUAUUAUUCAGGUCUAUAAUAUAUUUAACUAUUUCUUCUCUUAUAAUAAAUUUUGUUGCAUCAAUAGGGUCUACCUGUAAAUAAAAUAAUAAAUAAAUGACAAUUGAUAUUUGUUGAAAGCUUGAAAGCUAUGCCCAUGAAAGCUCAAGAAUAAAAAUAAACCAUAAUGAAAUUACAAAUAUGAACACAUAAAUUUUCAGUGACUUAGCGUAACAACGACUAAUUAACAGUUUAGUUUCACUUUCAGCAACAACAAUUGUACAGUGAUUCUGAGGCGAAUAGUAAAAUGUGAUCUUAAAAUAACCUAGCAAUAGAAGAACACACUAAUUUAAAAAUAAAAUUUAUAUUUUAUGUGGAUAAAUAAAUAGUUCAAACAAUGAAUAGUUCUUCUCCUGAAAUAUUUAAAGAUAGAAAUGUGUCUUUGUAAGACAAAAAGUUUCUGCAAAAAUUACUUAUUUUCAAUUUCAAGGCAACUUGAAUCUUUUCAGUUACCUCCCCUUCCGCUCAACAUGUAAUGUCAUAAAACGUUCUUUGCGCAUCCAUUUUUCUUUCAUAAAAUCAACUUUGUAACUUGUUCUGAAUGUAAUCAAUCAGGUCAUUAUUGACAUUUACCUUGUUUUUCUCAAUACCGUAUGUCAUGGACUGUACUUUGUUUGUCGUGAGCGUAUUCUACCUUCUAUUGGUUAAAAUGAACGUGCCCAUCUUUCUGGUUGUUCUUCUUUCAAGUAGUCUGUAGUAACUUUAUCAAUUGUUUCUAUCUCAUCUAUGAAACUAGCAAAUUCUUUGUGUUUAUAUGUUGUUGCUACAUUGUAGAAGAGUGACCAAACUAUAUCUGAGAAGUAUCUUUUUUUUCUCCAUGUGGUAAAUGCAUAUCCCGUGUUGAGUAUCUUUUUUUGUCCAUGUGAUAAAUGCAUAUCCCGUGUUGACACUCUGAAUAGACAUUUGCUAUUUGCAAUGGCCGGUAGCGAUCUGAUAGAUAGAUAGUUGUUCAUGUACCCCAAAUGCAUUUUUUAACUGAUUGAAGAACCAAUUAUAGGACUCAUUAUUUUCUGAGUCUGUAAUUUCAAAAGCCAAAAAAAAAUAUUGUUGUUUUCGUCCUUUAACACUACUAUCAUGAAAACACCACGAUAUUUUGACUUCAAAAACAUUGUGUCUAUUAUUAUUACUGACCUACAGUUGGUUUAUCCAGCGAUUGAAGCACCAUAAGCAAAAAACGCAUACUGAAACCAAUGUUGAGAAUGUUAGUGACAUGUUGCAUUUGAUGUUUAUGAUUAGUAUGACAAUAUUCUAAACUAAGUCUUGCCUAUGAGACAAGAGUUGCGUAUAUUUUAUCAAGCUAUGCACUAUAAAAGAAUAACUUUGAGCUUCAAUUUUAAGACAUGUGCAAGUUCUAAUAGUGUAUUUUAGUUUUUUAACAGGUCUUGCCCAUAAGGCAAGAAAUGCAUAUAUUUUAAUAAUCUAAGCACUACAAUUAAAGAAUAACCUUUUGCCUUUUGGGCAAAACUUUUCAGUUUUAACAAUGCAGCAUGUGUACCUAAUAAAAAAUGAAACAAUAAAAACUUAUUAACAGUUCAGUUUACGACAUAUAUUUUCAACAAAUAAUUAUUUUAUACCAUUUAGUGAUUAUGAGGCUGGAAAUUAAGAUGUGUGCUUAAGCAACACAUCAAUUUGCUGCAAAUUAGAUCCCAAUUUUGUUAACACAAAAUCAGCUAUAAUUCAUCCAACCAACCCAAAAAAAUAAGGACACAAUGAGAUCAGCUAGAGAAUUUCGAUGAUGAAGGUGUUACCUUGUUAUGUGCGAUUGAGAAUUUUGUCACUCUUCCAUGGCUGACUGAAAAAAAAAAUGUGGUUGCUUUGUUUUGAACUGCUUUGCUUUCAAAAAAAUAAAGACUAGGGAAAAGUGAAUUGGUCAGGAGAAAUUUUGUAAUGGAGCUUUUUCAUUUGGGGUUAAAAUUUGAAAGUCACCUUAUUUUGAGUUUAUUCCUGUGGUUUUCCCAAAAAAAAUCAUUUAUAUCCUUUAUUUAACCAAAAAAAAAAAAAUCAACCUAACUGAUCAACAACAAUAUACUCAAUAUAUUUUCAUAAGGUAGGAAUCAACCUAAUUGAUUAUUUUUUAAAAAGAAUGAGACAUGUACCUUCCGCCCUAAUCAUGUAACACCCUGCACAUUUAGGGACAUUCAAUUGAAAUAGAAUUUGAUAAAAUAUAGUUUUACUUCUUAAAUUUCUUGAUAAGUAUAAAAUGUUAUUUAGAAAAUAUUAGUGCAUGUCUUGAUUUUAGAAUAUAUAUAUAUAUAUAUGUAUGUAUGUAUGUAUAUAUGUGUGUGUGGGGUUUAAUAAUAUUUUAAUAAUAAAGAAUAAUUAAAUAGAAUAAUGGCAAAAACAAAUAUACAUUGUAAUUUCGUGUCAACAAAAGUACAUUAUAUUUUUAUAGCUCAAAAUCAGAAUUUGGCCAUGAAAUAAAAAGUAAUUCUUUUUAUAUGUUUGUAUAUUAUAUGGUAUAUUGUUGUAUAUAUAAUAUAAUCUUUUUAUUAUCUUACAUAAUAUUUUAUACACAACUAUUUAAUAAUAUACAUAAUUAUAUAAAUAUAUACAUAUGUAUCUAAAAUAUUUAUACAAUGUAUCUAUAUUAUAUAAGUGUGUAUAAAACGAAGAGGAAUAAGAAAACCAUCAAAAUAAAAAGAUUCUAUUAUAUAUACAACAAUAUAUGAUACUAUAUACAAAUGUAUACAAAAAACAGACUUCGUUAUUUUCCACAAAUUCAAUCACCAAACUCAUUCAAAAACACUUAAAACUACAUUAAAUCAUCCAAAACUUCAGAUUUAGACGCCUCAAUACAUAAUCGAUCUUUUGCAAUCAUACCGAGUCGAAACAAAGCUUAUUUAUGAAAAUUUAAUUUUUAAAUUUUAAAACUUGAAACUUCAAUAAUGAUUAUACAUCUGAAAAAUUUGUGCUACAGCUGUCAAAUUAUAAUUUAAAUUUGUUAUAUGCUUGAUCUACGAAUUUUAUAGAUUUGUAUUCCCUUAGAUGUUUAUUAGUUGUAGCAAUAAUGGAUAACAAUAAAACAUUUCAAGAAUUAUGCAUUAAAUAAGCAUUAAUCUAUAUUGUAAAGUAAUAUUUUAAAAUAUAAAAUUGGACCACUUUUUAUAAUGUAAUAUAUACGGUGAGCUAUAUUUAUAAUAUAGCAUUGUUGGAUACACUUUUAUGUAUAGGUUAUAUCAUCAAAUUUAUUCAUUUAGUAGGUAGCUUAUAUGUUUAUGGGAUACUUUUAGUGGUAGUAAUGUGGACAAAUGUGGACUAUUUAUUUCAUAACAUAUAUUUGUAUUCUUUGUGGACAUAAUUAGGGGCACUAAGUGAUUUAUUUUCCAUCGCCAUCUCACAGUUUAUACAUACAUAUAUUACUUUCUUGCUUUGACAUUUUUCUCGUUUUUGAAAUAUAAUGAUUAGAAAAUCUUUCAUCUUAAAACUUCUCGGCAUCAUAUACGUUAUAUAUGUACAUAUAUGGGCCUCUUAAUGAAUCAGAAGUUCUAUUUAUUUUUUUUAAAGCUAUCUUUCAUAUAUGUUUUGGUAGUUUCAAGGCUUUUCUUUCGUAUGAAUGUCAAAUCAAAAUAAAUCUUAAGUGUUGGCCAAAUAAAGCGGAUACGCGGAGCUCAUGGUAACAUCCGAAAGCAAACAAUACGGUAUGUAAAGGCUAUUCCUUUCUUUUUUGAUCGAGUUUCUUAAAAAAUGUAAUUCUUGAGUCUAGUGUAAGUCUCUAAAUUGUUAUUAGUGCUACUCAUGUUAAAAAUUUAUACUCGGUGAUGUCGAUUCCAUGUCAAGUGGGGGAGUUAAGCAACAUUGUUAACAUUAAUGUUAGGGUAUGUGUUAUUAAUGCUAGCGGUACAAAUUAUUGUCAUAUAAACUUAGCUAAUAAACAUCCAGUAUGAUAUUAUUCUACAUGAAUUGAAUAUUAGCAAGAUUUCAAGUGACUUCACAUAUCUUAAUUAUAUUUUCAAAGCAUGUUUUAGACUAUUGGAAUCUUAGUAUAAACAAGCAUGAUCAAUUUUUAGUACAUAGAUAGUUAGAAUACUUUUAGAUUAAAGAGGUUUUGAACCAAUUCUCAAAACUACAAUUUGGGAGCAGUACUCCGCACCAAGUUGGAGAAGGGCCUCAUUUUCAUCAGUAGUCUCAAAACUACGUGUCAGUGUAAGUUUAUUUAGCUCUCCUAGUUUAUUUAGCUCUCCUAGUUGGACAUUAGUUUAGUGAAAGUCCUCUUGAUGGGGUUUAUACAUCAGAACCACGUUAGCUCACGUGAUUUAUGUUGAUUAGUAGACUCUCCUAUAAAUUCACACUCAGUUUAUUUGUACAUGAUCCUUAAUUUGAUUUUACUUGCAUUAUAUUAUGACUUUUCAGAAUAUCUUUGUAUAUUAGUAUUUAUAAAUAUUGUUACGUGGUCAUUGUACUACAGUUUAUUUCUAGUACAUUAUAUAUCAGUUUUUUAGCAUACUCAGUUUAUUUUUAUAGAUUGCACAUCUCACAUGCUUGGUACAUUCAAAUUAUUGAUCACAUACUUUUUUUUGCAUUGUAUCAUCUUAUGAUAUAGAUUCGAGCAUUCAGUCUCAGCAUCACAGUUGGCACAUUCCAAUACUACUUCAGCAGCUACUAGUUGUAAGUCCUCAUCAUCUGAAGACGGGAAUUCAUUAUUAUUUUUUCUCAGUGUUACUAUUUUUACUAUUUGGUAUUAGCAGAAAAAUUGUCCCAACAACUCGCCAGUAAUAGAGGUUUUUCAGACAUAAAGUCAGACUUAUCAGCUUUUCAGUUAUUUCAGUUUUAGUAUUUCUUUUCACACUUAGUUUGAUUUUAGAGAUUAUUCAGAUUAUUUCAGACGUCAUGUCUAAAUUAUUUUAGCCUUCACUCAGUCUUCAUUAUUUCAAAAUAUUUAGUAUUUGGCCAUGUCAUGGGUUAACUUGGGGUCGAUCACUUGUGACUCUAAGCACCGUGUUACGUCCAGGAUGUAGUCUUGAAUUGUGACACUAUGAAUCCUCUAAAUUAACAAGUGUAAACUACACCCAACCAUUCAUCACUUAAUCAUCAAACAAGAGUAGUCUAAUGUUAUUUCAAUUACAAUGUAACACUUCAUGAUAAGCAAUGAGAACUUGAACGACUAUGCAUAUGCAACAAUGCAAUCAUGACCAUCACAUUCUCAUCUCAAUUUGUACAUACAUAUUAAAGAGACUUAUCUUCCCAAUAGUCAUGACCUACAAGAGAGCAUCUUUAUUUAUAUACUAUACUAGUGUGAUAUUCGAUCCUCCAAAUAUCAAUCUAUAAGCAACAUGUACUAGCGCAAAACCCAACCCAUCGAGCAUCAUAAUAUAUGAAUAUCUCAAUCAAUAUCAACAAAAAUAUGAUGAAGUACACCAACUAUGCAAUUACAUUAUUUAUCUAGAUACUUAGUCAAAUUUAAGAUUCAUCAUUUCAAAAGUCAAUUCUUAAUUAUUCAACUCAUGAUUAAGCAUGAAAUUCAAAAUCUAUAAGUACAAUUCAAACCAUAACUUACACCCCUUUCCAAGACAUUAUCCUAACUCUUGUCAUGAUUGAUGAAUUAUACUCCCCUAUGCUGAUCCUCAUUAGUAUUCAACCAACACCUUACUCCCAAUUUAUUUUAAUACUCGAUCUCUUUUAACUCUUAAAACCCAAUCUUCUAAUUAUAUAAAUACAUGAAUAUAUGUGUACUUUCACGUAUUUAUCACUCAUCUCUAACUAUCAGACAAUUUAGUCCUCAACUUUCAACUUAUUCCAAUACUGCAAUGUGGUCAAUCUUUUUUUAAGUUACAAAUUUUUAUUUAUUCUAUUAUCAUGAACACAAUCAUAUAUUUUCAUAUAGUUUAACAUAGAGAUCAUCUCAAUAGAUAAAAACCAACACUAAAUUCAUAUCAUCAAUCUUAUCCAUACAAGAUUAGUUUAUCUUUACUUAAUUAUUCAUAUUUUAUCCAGUCAAAUGGUAUAUCCACAGGUCUUAGCAUGAUUCCUCUCAUCCAUCUAUUUCAUGAAUAUGUCUUCUAACCAUAAUCUACUACUCAAUAAAACCUAGUCUACCUAAUUAUCUUGAAUUUGACAUGAAAGGUGAUUAAUAUAUUCAAUCAUCGUUAGUUUGGUGAUAGAGAUUGAAUUAUUUGGGCCAAUCUAGAUUAUUUAAUGUAGAAAUUGUAAUAUUUGAAUAAUUUGGAUUGUUUUCUCACUGCCGCUUUGAUUUAGUAUCAGUCGAUGAUGUUGCUUAGUAUACGUGGAUAUUAUUCAUGCUCGUUAAUUUUUUGCACCUUGUGUGCAAGUAGCAAGCGUAGUAUCUUUGGAUAUUGAUUCAGUAUCUAUGUUUGAGGCUUCUCUCCAGAAUCCUAAGAUAGUUGUUUGUCUGAUCAACCGACUGGUGGAUCCGUCUAUCUCUUAUUUUCUAUUUUGUUUUCCUUCUUUUGAGAUUGUUGACAUAAUGAGGAUGUAUCAAAUUCUUUAGAAGCUUGUACUAGUAACACCAAAUUUUGGAGAGUUGUAUCUAUUUUCAUUCUUCCUUUAUGAUGAAAGGGGAAGUUUUUUGACUUAUCGUGUUUUAGUUAUUUGAUUUCAUUUAGUUACUUUCUAUGUUGUAUAGUUGAAUCAGAUUGGCUUACCUAUCAAGUUGGGUGAAAUAAGCGUCAUCAUUAUUCUAAAUUUUGAAUCGUGGUACUAAGAUGGGAUAUAAAGAAAAUAUUGAGGCAAAAUGUGAUAGUACAGUGUGAGAAACUUAUGUAUUUAUAGAACGAGAAUUGUAGAGAUUUAAGGAGAUUUUGAAUUCAUUCAACAAGUUACUUUAAUGCAUUUCUUGUCCUUGGAAUGCAAAAACAAAAGAAUAAGAAUAUAAUCAAAUUUCAUUUAUAUAGCAAUUUAUAGAUGUGGAUAAAACAAAAAUUAUGUUUGAAACUCCUACUUUAUAGUGUUUUUCUUAAUUCAAAGCCCAAAAAAUUAAAUUGUAAAAUUAAUACAAAUAUGGAAAAAUAUAUAUAAAAGGAAAAAAAAUAAGUUAAUUCAAGUUAUAUGUUAUUAUUAAUUCUCUCAAGUUUGAAAUUUGAAUUAACAUAAGAUAUUUGAGUUUCAUUAAUCCAAAAUUCAUCAAUAAGGACCUAAAAUGUAAAAUUCAUAUAUUGUGUAUAUCUUUCUUACUCAUUCUGAUUUGGGCUGCAUUUUUUUUUUUAACAUUUAGACGUCUGAAUCUGAAUGCACGUCUGAAUGAUUUAAAUGUUGUCUCUAGAUCUGAAAAUUGAAUUAUUAAAACUGUUUUUUUUUCAAUAACUGAAUGUGCAAAAAAAAACAUUAUUUAUAUAUAUAAUAAAAUAAAAAAUAUAAUUCAAAUAAAAAACUAAUUAUAUAUCAGAAAAGUAUGUAAUUUAAUACAAAAAAAUUAUAUUAUUUGAUUAAAAAAAUAUUUAUGUUUGUUAGUGAUAGUGGAGAUGGUUUAUAAUGGUGGUUGUGGUGACAAUGAUUGAUGUUAGUGAUUAGUAAUAUUAGUGGUGAUAGUUGUGAUGGUUAGUAUUAUAGUGAUGUUAUGAUGGUGGCAGUUGAUAGUGGUGGUGGUGGUUAUGAUAUGACGUUGCUUAAUGUUAGUAGUUGGAGGUGUUGAUUGUGAUGGCUAAAAAAUGAAUGCAUGAUGGUUGACGAUGUGUUGGUGCUAGUUGGAGAUAUUGUUAGUUGUGAUAGUAGAGAUGGUUGUUAGUAGAAAUAAAUUAUAGCGAUGAUAGUGAUUGAAGUGAUGGUAGAGGUAGCGUUACUAGUGGCAAUGGUGGUGGUCGCCGAAGAAUGUAAGGAGGCUGUGAUGUACUAGUGGUUGCAGUUAGUGGUGGCGCUAGUUGUGAUAGAUGAGUUGGUCGAUAUUAGGAAUUGACCAGUGGUUGAUGAUGGUGGUGCUGUUGACAGCGGUGGUGGCGGUAAAUAUAUUUAGAAUAAUAGAGGUAGUAGGUGUGGUAGCGGUUGACAAUAGUGGUUGGUAGCGAUAUUUGUUGUCGAUGAUGGUGGAGAUGGUUGGUGGUGGUGGGUGAUGGUUGACAAUGAUGGUGGUGGCAGAGGUGGUGGCUGAUGAUUAUGAUGAAUAGAGUGGCGGUGAAUAUUAUCCAACACCAGAAUACCUCUUCAGACCUUUUAAGACUUGAUUCUAGAUCUGAAUGAUUAAGACCUAUUCAAACCUAUUAAGAGCUAAAAUCUUAAUAAAAAACAAAUGCACUUAAUGGUCUGAAGUCUGAACCAUUCAGAUUCAGACCUCCAUUAAGUGCAAACAAAUGAGCCCUUGGUGAUGUCCCGCCCUAAGAUUAAUCUUAAACUAGAUGUAAAACACACAUAACUAAUUCAUCGAUUCAUCAUCUAAUGAAGUAGGAUAUUUUUCCUUAAUAAUCAUCUUACUCAAACUCUACAUUCAAUGCAAAACCUCAAGUCUCAUCCUUCUUUUUAACUAGUAAUAAUGAGGAAGAAAAUAGAGAGUGAUUAGGCUAAAUGAUUCUAUUAUUAACUAUAUCAUUUACUUGAUUUUCUUUCUCAUGCUUCUGAAAGUAAUUGUACCUAUAAGACAUGAUACUAUUGGUGAUGCUUUCUUUUUAAAGGAACUUAGAUGGUCAUGAUUCCUUCUAGAAGCUAAGCUAGACUUUUAGGCUCUGCAAAUACAUCACGAACAUCAGCAUCCACCCCCUGAAUUACUUCAAGUAUAUUCUCUUCUAUAGGAAGUUCUAUAACACUAUCCUAGAUGGCUUGCUACUUUUGUUAUAAACUAUUUUACCUUUUGGGCUGACAUACUCUAGUUCUCCUUGACUAUAGAUACUCCUGAAUUUCAAUAUCUUUUUCUUAUGAAUUAUCUAGACUUUAUAUUCAAUUAAUUCCAGCAAUAUAGGAUCAUAUCUUUUCAUUCAAUAACCAUCCAAUAUCAUGUCAUUGCCACCUAUAUAUUCAAUUAAUUCUAGCAAUAUAGGAUUAUAUCUCUUCAUUCAAUAACCAUCCAACAUCAUGUCAUUGCCACCUAAAAUGGCCAACAUGACUAAGUCUUCAAAUUCAAUGCCAUGUAUCCUCUACUUAAAUUUAGGAUUGAAAUACAGACUGAUUAUAUGAUUUUCAUCGAUCAAAAUAUCUCUCAUAGGCAUAGACUCAUUGGUUGUGCAUCCUAUUUUAUUAGCAGUAUCAAUAUCCAGAAAGUUACGGACACGUCCCCAAUCCAACAAGAUGGCUAUCUUGUUUUUUCAGACUCUCUCCUCAGCCUAAUAACAUUUGGCACCUCUAUUCCUGAUAGUGCAUUUAAGCUGAUAGCUUCAUCCAUAGUUUCAACCAUCUGCAUGUCAACAGUUCCUCUAUUUUAACUCAUCAUUCACCUGUUCUUUUAAACCUUGAUCAAAAGAAGCAGGCAUAACAAUCAAGUGUUUCAAUUUACACUGGCGGUCAAAGUGAGAUUUUUCCUGACACUUGUAACAUAACUCAUGUGCCCUUUUAUAUUCAAUCAAUUUAUUGCUUUUGGCUUCCAGUGAUAAGUACCAACACCUCUAGGAGCUUUAGGAUUAAUUUAGUUGUUUCUGAUGAUCUAAACUCUAGUCCUUUAAUUCCUAUCCUUUUUACUUAGAAUCAUGAGUAUGUUCUCCUGAUGCCUAGCAUUAUCCAUAGCCCAACUCCUUCUCUGAGCAUUCUUAGAGUUUGUCUUAUCUCGUCUUUAAGCCCUUCUACAAAGAACUUUAAAGAAACCUCUUCUGCAAUGGUUGGAUUCUCAAAACUUUCAAGGUAGUCAUCAAAUGCCUUUCUUCUCAAUUUUUUAAUUCCCUAAUUGGAUUGAUUUUAUCAUUGUUGGAUCCUUCAAAUCUCUGGCAUAUCUCUUUAGUGAAUUCAUUUCAUCUAAUUGUACUAUUUGCCAAUAUGAUUAGAGAAAAAUCAAGAUUUCAUAACUGCAAUCUUCAAAUUCUGAUAUGAGUUGAGAAUGUGAUUAACUAGAAUUGUCUAUUUGCCUUCCUCAAUCAAGUCCAUGGAUCAGUGCCUUGAAAAUUGAAAAACUCAAAUCUGAAAUGAUGAUUCAACUAGAGUUGUCGAAUUCACCAUGUUCACUUCUUAAUGAUCAGUUGCCUGAAAUCUCUAGAUAAUUGCAAUCUCUUGGUGUGCUUCCAAGGAUUCCAUCUUGAGCUAACCGAAAUAAAUUACUCCAUCAGGGUGUCUAACUUCUUGUUCAAUUCAUUCAUCCUCGAGUCAUUGGCCUCAAUGUAAUUCUGUAAUUGGCUAUCCAGUUUCUUAGCUAAAGUCUUCAGUUGCUUUAAAUUGUGCUUCUAUUAUUAUCAUUUUGUCGAAAAUGAGCUCUAAUAACAACUGUUAUUAUCUGAAAAUGAAAGGAAUAAUGUUGUAAUUGAGAAAUGAAGUGUGAAUUGAUUUUCAAUUUUAUUAAUUCAACUUAAUGAUUACAAUUGAGCUAGCAAUACAACUCUGUAGCUUGAGCGUCAGCCAUGGAGAACUAGGGUAAGAAAAUGAAGGAUGGGAUACUAGAAGGAGGAGGAUAGAGAUGACGGAGUAAUAGAAUUACCAAAUCGCAAACUGACCCGGUGCACCCCUCCCCCCGAAGGUUGUUAUAGUAAGUUGAAUUAUUCUCGACCAUCAGAUCUAAUAAUUGUCACUAGCUUUAAUCGUGACCUUUGAUCUAAUCAAGUAAUGAACUCUUUAUGUUUGUGACACAUUUCCUUCCUUUUAGCUCCUAAUGACUACACAUUGCUCGUGCUAAUGCCCCUUAUCUCUUCGAUCAAGGCAAAUACCUUUCCCAAGUCUCAUUCACAAUACUUACACCAAGAUCGCUCUAGCAUUAUUAGGCUAUUUGAAUGCACAACAUCAUGUAUCGUAGGGUGGUUACACUUCCACACGUCUUUGGCUAAAUAAUCAGAUCCUCUACCUAUACCAAUCCAUAAUAUUUUCAUAUUUAGAACCUAAGAGUUGACUAUAUCAUCAAUCACCCUAGUAGUAUGUACUACACAUCUUAUAGUCGGAAAAAAAAAAAGAUUCACAUAUUUUCUUAAUGAAGAGCUUGCUUUGAUGGCUAUCAUUGAUUGCUUGCUUGAUUAGAACGCUUGGUAUCACAAUUACAUCUUUUGUGUUCUCACUACCACUUACUAUUACACAAGGGCUACUAUUGCUACUGGAGCUCUUUGUUAGAGCAGAAACAUAUACACUUGGUAAAUGCCCUGAAAUCCGUGAACGAGAUCAUGCUGACACCGUACCGCUGAAGAGGGAAAUUGUAUCGCAUAUAUCAUCAGUGAUUAUCCAACAUCACAAAAUGCUUUUAUUCCAUUGAAAAAAAAGUGCAGGGUUUAACAUUUAGGGCUUUUACUUCCAUGUCCCAACUCUCCAAAGCUUAUUUUAUAGCUACACAAAUGCUAAUGACAUGUCUCAAAAGUAAAGUACAGUGGAGGGAGUAAUAAAAUUAACCAAGUGGCGGUAAAACCUUGGAUCUGUAUCAACAGUGACGAUUACAUGAAGUACGAGAAGAAUAAAGUGAUGAAAGCCCCAAAUCGGACACCAAUCGCACAAAUCAUAAACUUCAAAUUUACUUACUAGCUACUACUGUGAAUUGAAUGUUACCACAGCAAAGAGUAGUGCACAGGAGUUCUGUUCACAGCCUGAGGGAAUCUAUGGGAAAUUCUUCUUCUGAUGACAAAUCCCAAGCCUACUCUUUAAGCUGUACCUUCAAUAAGGCUUUACAUGUAUGAUCUAUAAUCGCCAUAGGAUCGCUGUAUAAAUUGCACUAGCAUUAAACCCUUCCACCAUGCCAACAAGUUCCUGGAACCUCCACAAUAAAUUUGGAAGCAAUGCUUUGGGAGCUCAUCAUAGAAGCCUUACAUAAGCGCUAAAUGAUGAGUUUCUAUAACAGAAGCUCAUUAUAGAAACUUAUCCAGUUUAGCUUCCAAAUCCUGCACUGAAAUCAUUUUGACAAAGUCUUGUCUAUCCUCAGGUGUAUAUUCUUUUUUCAGAAGGGAUAGCACUUGCACGUGUGCUUCCAAUAUAUUAGUCCUGCACAAAUAUGAAAAAGGAUUUGGAGGCUGUGAAUCCUUUUAAAUGAUUAGAAGUACAAAAUAUAGAAUUUGCAACAAUACAAAUGACGUUUUCACCUUAACCCACAUAAUCCAAAUAAAUAAAUGUGUGUUGUUUGUAUAUUUCCUUAAUAAUUAGGUCACUCGUGUAGAAAGCCAUUGUCAUCAGUUAAAUUUUCUGGCACGCCACCUAUGCAUAGGCUGUAGCUUAUUGUGACUAUAUAAAUACAUAGAGGAGGGAAACUGGGACAAACAUUUCAACAAGUUGGCUCUCAUUAGGGAAGACAUUUCAGCAUCAAGAUUAUGCUGGGAAUGAACACAGAUAUGAGAACUUGUAACUCUACUUUUAGAUAUUUGAAUUGUUUUUAGCCGAAUCCCUGCACCCAUAUCCAUAAGUGGAUCAAUACCCCUGAAGCUUAAAAUUCAAAUCAAGAAGAUCUGACCUCUAGAUCAGACACCCGCACCCAAGGUCGAGCAACUUAAGCUCGUAGAAGGUAUUGUUACAAAGUUUGUGAAAUCAAAUGAUCAGCUUUUACAUAUUUUCAUCUAGUCCCUCCCUGGUCCUUGUACUAGUUAUAUUUGUAACAAGCUCGGUAUGUAAUGUCUUACAUGUAAAAGGAUUGUAAUGUAAGGGCUCAUUGUCUUAAUGUAGUUUACACAAUAGAAUAAUAUUUUCCUGUGCCUUUACUUCUCACAAGUGGAAGGAAUUAAAAGAUAAACAAGUUUUAUUACGAUAUAACUGCAUAAAAGAUCUUACUUAAUGGGUUUGAAAAGUAUUGCACGUGUCGAUGAAUUCUGCAGAUAGAGCCUCAUUUUUGCCAAUACCCUAGGCAAAUCUUCAUCUAUUGCUGUGCUGGCCUGUGCCAAAUAAAUGGAUCAGCAUGUAAAUCGAAAGAAAGGGAAACAUUGAUUGAAUAAUAAAAGAUCAGCAGGCAUGAUGUAUGUUUAUUAAAAACCAGUAAAUUGAUUGGUUUGGUUAUUUUGAUUCAUUCAGCCAUUUGUGUAAAACAAAAUCAAAGUUGCACAAAGGUUUUUUUGUUUAAUUCAACAAAAGAUAAGCUUAUCUAUCUGUUUACCUUCUGAAGAAGCUCCACAAUCUUUUCUGGUGAAGCAAAAGCAUGAUCCUUGAGUGGCUUUGCAAUCCCAGACUCCACUUUUUGAUUUUGAUUACCAGAUAAUGCAACUUUAACAGCCGUAACCUUUUAGACAUUUCAUACAAAUAGUUAAAACCUUAAAAAGAAGAUUCAUAAGGAAAUGAACAAAUCUACAAGGUCAUAAAAACAUCAGAUCUUGACUCUACAAAUUUGGCUCAUGGCCGCAUUCAAACCUCUGAUUAUAAGUACCAUUACUGUUUCCCAUGUCCCUCAGUAAUACUUCUCAGGUCAUAUACCAAUGAAAUUGAUUCACAAUAGAGAUAGUGAGGGGCCAUCAUGAUAACGAUCCUAAUCAGAAACUGGAAUCAAAAUGCGGAAAAUUGAAACAAACAAAAGGAUAUGUGGCAUUAUCAAAAUUCGAUCGGAUUUGUGAGCAACAAAGGGCUCUAUACCUUCACCUCUCAAUUGAAUCCAAUCACAAAACAAUAAAUUCGAUCCCAAUCAAAGACAAGAAAACCAAAUUGAAUCCACAAACAAGGAAACUCGAUGAUUGAUUAAGCUAGAAGAAGUCAACACGGGCAAUUUAACCUUAGACACUCGAUGUACGAUUAUCAACUACGAACUAUACUAAUGCUAGGUUUCACCUAGAGAAUUCUACUACAAGAUUCAAAGCUCUCAAUUCAUCAUAAACUACAAAAGAAAAUGGCUAAGGCAGCUAUCUAUAGUUAUUGCCUUUACAAAAAAAUAGCCUAUUACAAAAUAGCUCAAAGUGACUGUUUAGGAAAUAACCCAAAAGGGCCUUCUUGAUUGCCCAAAUGACAUCUUGAUCACCCAUGCUGGGUAUUUGUUGCUCCAUGGCUUCCUCCGGGAUCCAAGCUAUCAUCCAUAUGUGGAAGCCCCUCCUAAUGUGCUCCAAGCUAACCGUGCUCGUAUCACAUCAACUCCCCAACCCCAACCCCAAACCAAAAAAUGCAAAAAUAGACAAUGUUGAGUGCAGUUGUGCUAAUUAAAUUACUGAUGGUUUUUUGAAAAAAAAAGAGGGUUGCAUUGUAUAAAAUCAGCAAAAAGGCUAUUGAUGCUAGCCAUAUUUACAGAUUCCAAAAAAGCAAAAGUAUGUCCUAUUUCAAUUUACAAGGAUUUUAUGAUGUCUAGUAACGAAUCAGCACCGUCUAAUUAAAAAUAGCUGAUAGUAUUUGAAGCUAGUGACCUAACUUAUAGAUAACCGGUGGUAUUUGUAGCUAGUUACCUAAAUUACAGAAUUCACGUUGGUGUGUUCUUGUGUUAUAUAUAAAAUAGUGCUGAUUAUAAAAUUUCAGAAGAUCCCUCUUACUUGAUUGUUUAUGUAAACCCGAAGAGCCCCCUCCUUGUUUUCCCCCUCCAACUAGUCAAGCAUCCUUCACAUAACCAUUGGCUGCAUUAGCACCAUUCUCCUCAAGUUUUCCACAUAAUAUCUCAUAAUUUAGGUUUUAUAACUUUAUUAUUAGAUAUUUGAAUUAUUUUUACCCUGAAUCUUAAAAUUUAGAUCAUGAAGGAUCCGACCUCUAGAUCUGCACCCGUAUCGGACAUCCGCACCCAAGUCCGAGCAACUUAGACUCUGUCCACCAAGGCUGUUGAAAUCAACUAGUGUUUUGUCUCUAUUGGGAUUUGAAUCUGAAACUUCAUGGUGUUCAACCCACUUCAAUAAUUUCUCAUCCUCUCCAAUUCAAACUCUUUGUCAAUUCCUUUCCUAUUACCCAUCAGAGGUAAGACCACCACAGAUCCUUCCCUGCUUCCACCCUCCACAUUCCCUGCCACUCUCACCUACCCGUCCUCCAACAACAGCAGCACUGGACAAAAUUCAGAUCAUAUCUAAAUUCUAAAUCCCGUCACAAAGCCUGUCAUGGAUCGUCAAAAGGUCCUAGUUUUUCUUCCAGAAAAUAAUACGCCUAUUUCCUUUUGUUCAAAUAAGGAUAUGCCAUCAUCAACCACCAUAAAACAGGCCCCUUCCCACCUUCCUCAUUACAAUUCUUACAUUGGUCAUUUCAUGCAAACGAUAAACAACUUUAAUAAAUCCCCCACAAAGCUCUCCAACCUUGUUGACUGGAUCUUUACAUCACAAGUGUGUCGAAAAAUCCACCAAGUUUACAGCGAUAGAGUCACCGGCAUACCGUGGAUCUAUACACACAUCAUGCUCCACCCACCCUUCUAGCUUUAAGAAAACUACCACCUAGCCACCUUCCUCCUUGAAGAAAUUUGGCCGCCUGAUUAUCCUUCGCAAAUCCGAGAUGUGUAGAGGAUUGAGUGUCUUUUGUAGAGAACCAUAUCUUUUUGUAGGUUCUUUACCUUUUGGUAUACCACUUGUAUAUGGCCGUUUUGGCCUUGUGAUUAAUGAAACUGUUUACCUAAUUUAUUAAAAAAACUACAAAGCUACAACUGUUUCAAAUCGCAGUUAUAAAACAAAAAAGGACAUAGGUAAUAUUUCCCAAACUCUGAUGUCAAAGCUAUAGACAGCUGAUAAGAGUCAAUAUCAAAAUUAGACGAGAAAAAUAUGGCAGUAAAUGAAUCAUAUAGAAAUGUAUGAAAGAAGAAGAAAGUAUACAAGGAGACGGCAGCUUUUGAGCACCUAAAAGUCGGUGAUAACUCAAUUAAUUAUUUAUAAAUACUAAAUAGUGAAAAGUGACACUUUUAACGAAUGAGAUACAUGGGAUGGAGAAAAUGUUCUUCAUUGGGAGAAGAUUAGGGGUGGCAAUGGUGCGGUGAGGGUUUUUUCUAAACCUGCAAAUUUUAAAACCGCCCCGCAUCACCUUUAAACCCGCCCCACACUCAUAUCCGCACAUACCUGCACCACACCGCCCCACGUUUUUGUUUUUUUUCUUGUUUGGAAAAUUUCUAACUCCACUGAAAACCAUGAUAUUUUCAAACUAGGAAGUAAUAACAACCAAUUUCUAAUAUAUCACUUUUCACUAACAAACUAUCAGAAAAGUAUCACAUGUACAAGUAAUGAUCAAGUAUCAAAUUUUCAUUAAGAUGAAUAAAGAAAUUUAAGAAGUUAUAAAAUUGUUUAUUUGUAGUGUUGUACAUGUCAUUUUAAGUAUCAUAAAAUUUUAAGUGAAGAAUACAUAUAAUUUUAGGUAGAUUCACGAAAAUAAUAUUAAGUAGCUUUUUUUUAGUUUAAACCCGCAUAUACCUGCAACCCGCCCCGCAUCAUUUAAAAAAAAACUACUUAACCUACACUCGCUCCGCACCCACAUAGUCUAAAAUUCGCACCGCCCCACAUAGCCUAAAACCCGCACCGCCCCAUUGCCAUCCCUAGAGAAGAUAAGGUACCCCAACAGAAAUCGUUAACUAUUUAAAGAACAAAGUUGAAAAUGUGGAAAGAUUGUUCCUACAAAUAAAGAAAGAUCAAAAGACAAAAAUGGAAAACAGAACUAACCUUUGUCACAAAAGAAAGCAAUGGUUCCACAACUAACUUAGUCACUGACAUAAUGAAUUCCUCACAAGUAGUUUUCAGGCUUUUCUCCAAUUCCUGCAUUCAAAGAAGCUUUUUACCAUAAAUUAAACUUUGAAAAGUUUCUAUUCAUCAUUUAUAUAGCCAUCUACCAUCUAGUUCACCCAGCCCAAAUUUUUCCAGAGAUAAGGGUUGAUAAAGUUGCAUCUUUCCAUGUAAAUGUUGAUUUCCUUGUUUCAGAGAAAAGGAAGAGGGCAAGCAGAAGGUGAACUAUGAAAGGAUGGAUAACAAAUCAUCAAGCAUAACUGGACAAAGAGGAGAACGCCAACCGGUUUUACCACCCUUAGCCCUGUACCUAACUUUAAAAACUAUGAUGACAAAGGAAAAGAAAGGGACAUCAGAAAUAUUAGCAAAUAAGUGGUUUUAUUUGCCAUAGAACUAUGAUGAAGAAGGUAUUUCCUUGGCAGAACAAUUGAUAUAGAAUACCAGCCCAAAGCCAAUUUUAAGAAACUUAUGAUCUUGAGAAUUCACAUAUUUGUUGCAAUAGAUACAUCUAGGAAUUUCACAGAUGGCUAUAGUACAUAUCACAGAUAAUGUUGAUGGAACUCCGAUUUGGCAUAAAUUGAUAUAAUUUAUUUGAUUUAUCAAAAAAAGAACAGUUUAUGGAGCUCAUGAAUAACUAAGAAAAAUGACAGGAGAAGAACAAGAAAACCAAAUAUUAAGAAGAAAUAAAACUGUACGGCAUACUAGAAACACCCGUCAAGACUGAAUUUACCCAACAUAAGAAAACUAAGCACUUAAAUGUCACUUUCCUCCCAUCCCUGGCUGUGUAGAAUGGAAGAUGAAUUCCAUGAGAAGCAAGUGUUAUUGAAAGUAAAAAUUGCAAAAUACGUUGAGGUUUAAGUGCAAAGCGCAAAUAACGCGUGGGCUUAAAUGAAAAAAGCCGCAAAGGGAGAAAAAAACUAAUAUAUACAUGUAUAUGUACAUAUAAGUAUAUACAUGUAUAUAUAUGUAUAUACAUGUGCAUGUGGAUGUGCAUGUAGGUGUAUAUAAACGUGCAUAUAGAUGUAUCGUGAAAGAGACAAAUAUACCCCCGAACUAUGAUAAAUGGUACGUAUAUACCCUCCGUCAUACUUUGGGUACACAUAUGCCCCUACCGAGAGUGAAAUGGUAUGUAUAUGCCCCUCACACUAACGGUAGGGGCAUAUGUGUACCCAAAGUAUGACGGAGGGUAUAAAUGUACCAUUUAUUAUAGUUCGGGAGUAUAUUUGUCCCUUUUCCGUUUUGACUUUUUUUAUCAUAAAUAAUUAACCCAAACCCACUACUCGACCCAAUAAACCCAUCAAACCUGAUUUCAAACCAACUCGAUUCGACCUUUAUAUUUUGUUCCAAACCCUAACUCCCUCUAUUUUUCUCUUAAAUGUGAACCCCAAUCAAAUUGCAGUGAUUGGUCACUACUGCUAGUUCGAGUUUACUGAUUGGAGGGAGUGGAGAGUAGGCCAGAGCUAGGAGUGCGGCGAUGGUUGGCCAGUGGGGUGUUUCCAAUUUGACGGAGAAGAUGGCUAUGUGGUGUUGAUUGGUGGUGCGUAAAAUUUCACAGGAAAUUGAAACGUGAGGGGUUCAAUUUGCUUGGUGUUGUUUUGGGUGUUAUGGGUUAAUGUUUUUUAAAAAAAAAAAAUUAGUAGUAGUGGGUGUUACUGUAUUGUGUGUGUAUAUAGUUAUAGGGGUGGGAAAAAUGCGUAUGUUAGAUAGGCGUCUAUUCGAUUUUAAUUGAGACCAAAUCGGGUAGUGGGCUUAUUGGGUCGGUAGUGGGUUUGGGUUAAUUAUUUGAGAUUAAAAAAUUAAAACUAAAAAGGGACAAAUAUACCCCAAACUAUGAUAAAUGGUAUGUAUAUACCCCCGCCAUACUUUGGGUAUAUAUAUACACCUACCAUUAGUGUGAGGGGCAUAUACGUACCAUUUCAUUAACGAUAGGGGCAUAUGUGUACCUAAAGUAUGAUGGAGAGAAUAUACGUACCAUUUAUUAUAGUUCGGGACUAUAUUUGUCCCUUUUCUGUAGAUGUAUAUAUACAUAUAUAUGUUUAGUUCAAGCUUAAUAAUAAUAUGCAUGAAUGACAAAUAUAUGAACAAGGAAAUUUUUUAAAAAAUUGUGAUAAAGUAAAAUAUCAAUUAUUUAGUGUUGCCUUUUUAGAUUUGCACAUGGUGUUCAUCGACCUGAAGAAGGCGUAUGACAAAGUUCCAAGGGAGGUUCUUUGGAGAUGCUUGGAGGUGAGAGGGGUCCCGGUGGCGUAUCAGAGUUAUUAAGGACAUGUACGAUGGAGGAAAGACUCGGGUGAGGACGGCGGGAGAAGACUCGGGGCAUUUUCCGGUCGAGACAGGGUUGCAUCAGGGAUCGACUCUUAGCCCCUUUCUGUUUGCAUUAGUGAUGGACGUGUUGACGCGGAGUUUCAAGGUGAGGUGCCUUGGUAUAUGUUAUUUGCGGAUGAUGUAGUGCUGAUUGAUGAGACGCGGGAGGGUGUGAAUAAAAGACUGGAGGUUUGGAGGCAAACCCUUGAAUCUAAGGGGUUCAGGUUGAGUAGGUCCAAGACAGAAUAUAUGGAAUGCAAGUUUAGUGACUCGAGUCAGAAGGACGAAGUGGUGGUGAAGUUGGAUUCCCAGGAUGUUUGUAAGAGGGAUAGUUUUAAGUAUCUUGGGUCUAUAAUUUAGGGGAAUGGCAAGAUUGAUGAGGAUGUCUCAAAACGUAUUGGAGCAGGUUGGAUGAAGUGGAGGCUCACCUCAGGAGUGUUGCGUGAUAAGAAGGUGCCCCUUAAGCUUAAAGGCAAAUUCUGUAAGCAAAUUCUAUAGAGUGGUAGUCCGGCCGACCAUGUUGUAUGGAGCGAAGUGUUGGCCAGUCAAGAACUCCCAUAUUCAACGAUUGAAGGUGGCGAAAAUGAGAAUAUUGCGUUGGAUGUGUGGACGUACUAGAGGGGAUAAAGUUAGGAAUGAGACUAUCAGGGAAAAGAUGUGAGUGGCUUCGGUGGAGGACAAGUUGCGAGAAGGAAGGAUGAGAUGGUUUGGGCAUGUGAUGAGGAGGGGCACGGAUGCCCCAGUUCGUAGGUGCGAGAGGUUAGCUUUGAAUGGCUUUAGAAGGAAUAGAGGUAGGCCGAAAAAAUACUGGAGGGAGGUGAUUAGACAUGACAUGGAGCAGCUUCAGCUUACUGAGGACAUGACCCUAGAUAGGAAGGUGUGGAGGUCGCGGAUAAGGGUAGAAAGCUAGUGUGUGUGUGGGUUGUAGUAAGAUGUUAGGAGAGCUCUUGUGUAGCCGAGUUAGUAAGCAUAGGAUUGUAUCUAUUAGUAGGAGCCUCUAGUCAGUAGAGUUUGUGUGUGGUGGGUGUUUUUGGUCCGUGGAUGUAUGUUACUACAAGGUGGGUGUCCUAUCUCUCAUUUCUUAUUUCGAAUUACUCAUUUCUCUUAUUUUGUAUUUCUAUGAUACCUAUUUUAUUAUUGAUUAUUCCUUAUUUAUGUUAUGUCAUUCAUCCUGCUUCAUGUUUCACUACGACUUUGUGUACUAUUCUCUAGCCUGAGCCGAGGGUCUAUCAAAAACAACCUCUCUACUUUUUCGGAGGUAGUGGCAUGGACUGCGUACAUUUUACCCUCCCCAAACCUCACUUUGUGGGAAUACACUGGGUUUGUUGUUGUUGUUGUUGUUUUUAGACGAGGAUCACGGGCAAGGAGAAGAAUGCCUCAGAACCUUGUUGACGACACUGCAAUGCACAUAAAGCGAGGCGAAGACUCAACACUUUUUGAGCCUCACUUCAGGGCUUAAGAGCGCCUUUAAAAACAUUAGAAGCUAGUUCCUCGGGAAGGGCAUUAUGGAAAGAUAAAUGUUCAUCCGGUGAACUUGCAGGAGAUUAUAACAAAGAGAAAUGAAAGGAAUUUUUGAGCAUUUUUCAACUUAUCCAAGGAAUCCCUUGUACAAUACUAAGAAUGGAGCAUGUCGCCCGUCCAUGGAGGCAUUAUGUUUGGAAGCCCCUCCUUAGCAGCCUCUUCCUCAAAAGGCAGGGUUGAAGGCAAAUGGGAAGACCCUUAUAAGCAUAACAAGUCGCAUUUUCAGGGCCUAUGGAUGCCUUAGGUAAGGUGGGGGAUUAGGUGUGAAAAAAAUUAAUUUCCAUAAUAAAAGUCUGUUAUGGAAGUGGUUAUGGAGAUACCAUGAUACUAGAGAGGAACUAUGGACGAUUACUGGACACAUGAUAUGGGAGAGAACUCUGGACACUUGGGUGUAAUUUCUGUGACUUAACAAACUGGAGUAUGGAAGCAUAGAAUUGUAUUGCGUACAAUAGAUCCUUGUGGCCCGGCCCUUCCACAGACCCUGCGCAUAGCGGGAGCUUUAGCGUACCGUGGUGCCCUUUUUUUUUUGGCUUGAAUUCCAAAAUUUCAUCACAUUGAAAGUGGGUGAUGGUGGUAGAAUCAGGUUUUGGACAGAUGUUUGGCUGGGGCAAUAGAAGUUGAUGAACAAAUGCCCUCCAUUCUAUAGCUUAAUCAGUAACAGAAAUUGUAAGGUAGCAGAACGUCAUACAGUUAAGGAGUGAAGACUUAAUUUCAGAAGGAACUUCAAUAAUUGGGAGGUUGAUGAAAUUGGUCAGCUUCUAUAUUUUUUGGAACCUGUGAUCCUUGAUGGUAACAGGGUGGAUUAACAGAUUUGGAUUGCUAGCAAGGAUGGGAAAUUUUCAGCAAAGAGUCGUUAUAGUUUAAUGUGGAGCCAAAUAGGCCAUUGGAACUUGCAUUGCCCUUGGAAAAUGUCGUGGAAGUCUUUAGCACCUCUUAAAUUUGCCUGCUUUGGUCGGAUUGCAACUUAGGAAGCAUGCUUUAACUCGGGACAUGUUGAAAAGAAGAGGAAUUCCUUUGUGCAGCAGAUGCUAUUAGAGAAGUUCGGGGAAUUUGGAAAACAUCUCUUUUGGCAUUGCAGCCAUAUAUAGCAAAUUUGGGAUCUUUUUCCGAACAUGAGUGGAGUGCAUAGGGUAAUCUUUUUCAGAACAUGAGUGGAGUGUGAGAGAAACAUAAGAGAAGAAUAUUAUUGAAUUGCUGUAUAUAAAUUAUUAAAUGAGACCCUAUUUAUAGACAAACAUUAGACUCCUUUUCCGACAUUACAAUCCUUUUCCAAGUAGCAUUCUAUAUACUAUUCCUAUUCCUACUCGUAUUCUACCUCUCCCCUCAAGCUGGUGCAUAUAAGUUAUAUAUGUACCGAGCUUGUUACAAAUGUAAUUAAUACGAGGACCAGUGAAGGACUUGGUGAAAAUAUCUGCAAGCUGAUCACUAGAUUUUACAAAUUUUGUAACAAUAUCUCGGGAAAGUAUCUUCUCUCCCAUAAAGUGACAAUCAAUUUCAAUGUGAUUAGUCCCCUCAUGGAAUACCAAAUCUGAUGCGAUAUGAAGAGUCGCUUGAUUAACUAUCUCAACAACUGUUUAAUCUAAACUAGCUCACAAGCGGCUAUCCCCGUUACUUGAUAUUCUAAUUCUGCACUAGAUCAAGCAACCACACUUUGUUUCUUACUCUUUCAGGACACCAAAUUACUUCCUACUAAAACACAAUAUCCGGAUAUAGAACGUCUAUCGCAAGGUGAUCCUAUCCAAUCAGCGUCUAUAUAUCCAACUAUCUGCUCAUGACCUCAAUCCUCGAAGAGUGAACCAUUACCUGGAGCUGACUUAAUAUAUCGCACAAUGCGAACAACUGCAUCCUAAUGACUAUCACAAGGAUAAUCCAUAAACUGACUUACAACACUCACAUGAUAGGAAACGUCAGGCCUAGUCAUUGAGAGAGAAUUCAACUUACCAACUAGAUCUUUAUAUCUUCCAGGAUCAUUAAGUGGCUCCCCCUGUCCUGUCCAUAGGAGUGCCAAUAGGUUUACAUCCCAUCAUUUUUGUCGCCUCAAGAAUAUUUAAGGCAUACUUGCGUUGCGAAAGAACGAUACUUGAUCUGGACUGAGCAACUUCAAUACCUAAAAGAUACUUCAAUCAGCCAACCUCUGGAAAUGUUGAAAGAGGAGUUGCUUCAAACAAAUGACACCAUCUUGAUCAUUGUCGGUAAUAACGAUAUCAUCAACAUAAACCACCAAAUAAAUACAUAGAUUUGGACUAGAACGUCGAUAAAACACAGAGUGAUCUGCUUCACGACGAAUCAUGUCAAAGUCAAACUUCUGAAUUACUGUGUUGAACUUUCCAAACCAGGCUCGAGAAGAUUGUUUUAGAGCAUCAAAUGGCCGACGCAAUCGGCACACCAGACUAGAAUCCCCCCGAACAACAAAUCCAGGAGGUUGCUCCAUAUAAACUUCCUCCUCAAGGUCACCAUGGAGAAAAACAUUUUUAAUAUCCAAUUAAAAACAAGGUCAGUAUCGAAACAAUAGCAAUGAAUAAAAAAAGACAAACAGAUGUUAUUUUAGCCACGGGAGAGAAAGUAUCACUAUAAUCAAGCCCAAAUAUUUGAGUGUACCCCCUUGACAACAAGGCGAGCCUUAAGUCGAUCAAUUUGGCCAUCCAAACCAACUUUCACUGCAUAAACCCAGCGACAACCAACAGUUGAUUUACCUGAAGGGAGAGGAACAAGCUUCCAAGUACCACUCGAAUAUAAAACAGAAAUCUCGUCAAUCAUAGCCUGUAGCCAUCCUGGAUGAGAAUGUGCUUCUUUUAUGGACUUGGGGAUGGAGACAAAGGAAAAAGAUGAUAUAAAGCCAUAAUGCGAUGAUGAUAGGCAAUGAUAACUUAAAAAGGUAUAAUGAGGGGUAGUAUUAGGAGUGGACUGUAAACCUUUUCGAAGUGCAAUUAGAGGAAACAAGUCUAUAGUAGGUGUAGGGUCAGGUGCAGGACGGGAAUCAUCCACGUAUUAUGUUGUACAUGGACGAUGAUGAUAAGUCAGGAGUGGUGACACUACAUAUGAAGUUGUAGAAGGUAUUGUAGAUUCCUAAAAGUCGAUGUAGGUAAAACUGGUGGUACUACGUAUGGAGAUGUAAAAGUGGCGAUAGGAUCCUCAAAAGUCGAUAUAGAUAAGACCUCAAACAUGUUAUGAUGAUCAGGAUCAAAAGAUGUAAAGUAAGGUUUAGACUCAAAGAAUGUGACAUCAGCCAACACAAGGUAGCCGACAUAAGGUACCGACGAAGAUCAGGUGAGUAGCAACGAUAUCCCUUUUGCACUCAAGAAUAACCAGGGACAUAAAGAACGGAAUUUAAAGUGACAAAGGAUAAGGGAGUAGCUUGUCCAACUCUUUUUGCUUUGAUUUGGUUAUCAUUGGCUAAAGUGACGAUUGGAAGAUACUGUGAAUAAACAAUAUUUGAUAGAAGUGAUUUACUACAAGAAAUAUAAUAGAAGCGCCAGAGUUCACAACCCAUGAUCCAAAGGUAGGAGAUUGUGCAGUUGAGGCUACUGGUCGAGAUAUCCGCUAACUUGCUCGAUACUGAAGAUACUGAUUAUAUUCCUUUUCAAAUAAAUACACCCAUUAAUUACAUGCGGUGUUAGACUGAGCAAUAUGAGCAUUUUUAGGUGGUCAACCAUGCAAAGAAUAGUAUACUCCAUGAGUAUAUCCAAGCCUACUACAAUAACUACACUUAGAUCAAGAAUAGUAUAAGUCACGAGUGUGUCCAAGCCUUUUACAAUAAGUACACCUAGGUCGAGAUCUUUCAAAACGACCUCCCCCUCAUCGAUUCUAUAUAAAUUGUGACGUUUGAUUUUUUGAUCUCCUCAAUAAGGGUUCAAACUUAAUCAUAGGACUAAACCGAGCAAAAAAAAAUUAAAAUAUGUUGCCGAAAAGGUUUUGACUACAAAUUUCUAAUUUCACAAUAUGAUUCGACUUAAAAGCAACAAUAAACAAUAAUGAGGUCUGAAGAAAAGGUCUAAAUCAACAAAAAAACAAUUGCCAAAAAAUCUGACAGUUGGCGACUGAGUUUUCUUUAAAAAAAAUCUUACCAAUGCUCUAAUAUCAUGUGAGAAAUACAAGAGAAGAAUAGUAUUAAAUUGUUGUAUCUAAAUUAUUUCAUUGAGACUAUAUAUAGACAAACAUUAGAUUCCUUUCCCAAUUAGGACACUGACAUUAUAAUCUUUAUCCAAGUAGGAUUCUAUAUAUUAUUUCAAUUCCUACUCACAUUUUAACAGAGUGCGUGAGUGUAAAAGAUUUAUUCAUAUGUUGGCAAAUUCAAAAAGUCAGGAAGAUCGAAGGAAGAAAAUCAAAAAGACUUUGAGUAGGGGUGUGAAAAAAUCGAUUCAACUGAUAAACCGAACCGAUAAAAAUGUUAUUGAUUUAUUGGUAUUGAGUUAUUGGGUUAACGAUUUUUUUAACGGUUUUGUAAAUCUUUUUAUUGGGCUAUCGAUUCAAUUUUCGGUUUUAAGAUUUUAGUUAAUGGUUAAACCGUGAACCCAAUAAGAUUAUAUUAAAAUUGUACUUUUACUCGCACUUAUAUAAUAGUGGUUUUAGAUAGAUACAUACCUUAUUGUCUUUUGUAUAUUAUAGUUGUUGUCUUAGUUCUUUUAAUUUGAGUAGACUUUAUACAUGAAGAUAGUGUAGAACAAAUGUAAAAGUAUAAAAGAAAGUAAAGAAAAAUUAAGGGAGUAUUUUCUUAUCGGUUAAAUCGAAAACCGAAUAGAUAAAGACAAAAAAACGAUUAACCAAAAAGCGAUAACGAAUAUCUUAUUGGUUCGGUUAUCAAUUUAGCGUGUUUACAAACCGAAAACCGAUAAACCGAACCGAUAAUGCACAAAAUUGAACCGAACUGACCGAUGCACACCCCCUAACUAUGGGUAUGUUUAGUGAGGAAAACAUUUUCUAGUAUUAAUUUUCCCAUGUUCUAUUGCUCAAAAAUUUUGGAAAAUGUUCUCUAGGAAAACGAGUUCCUUAAAAAUGAGGAAAAUGACUUCCCAAGUAGGAGUCAGAAAAAACAAGUUUCAUAGGUGACAUUUUACACUGAUUGUAUUCUCCAACCCUCUAACAUACUUCAUCUCCCACCCACCCUCAUAGCCCUCAUCCCAACCACCUCACACCCCUAGCCCCCACCUCACCUUCCAUAGUAUUUGUGUAGAUUAUAUACAAAUGCUUUUAAGAUUAAUUUUUUACUUAAAUACCAUACACAAGAAAAUAAGUAAGAAACUUACUUAUUUUCCGGGAAAAUUUCUUUCAUACCGAACACACACAUACCCUCUAUGCAUCUUUUGGACCAUUUGAUUGGAAAGAAAUAAGUGAUGUUUUGAGCUAAGUUGCUCGGACCUGGGUGCGGGUGUCCGAUACGGGUAUGGAUCUAGAAGUCGGAUCCUUCACGGUCUCAAUUUAAAGAUUCAGGGAUAUGGAUCUAGGAAUGGAUACGGGCGCGGGGAUUCGGCAAAAAAUAAUUUAAAUAUCUAAAAAUACAGUUAUAAAACAUAAAUUAUGAGAAUUAUAUGAAAAACUUGAGGAGAAAAUAUUGUUCAAGAAGAAAAUCUUGGAAGGAGAUAAAAAGAAAAAGUAAUAACAUAACAAUUUCUAUAUACAAGGUAUUCCAUUUUCUUCAAUAUCACCUUAGCUUUUGUUUUGAUUACAAAAUUUCUUAAAUCUGUCUGAACUUUUCCAAUCGAUUUUGGUUAAAGUACCCAAAAUCGGUUGACCAGAUCGGGUAUGGAUCCCACACCCACACCCAUGUCAUGUCGACAUGGGUGCAGCACCGAAAGUGAAGAGUCCGAGUAACUUAGGUUUUGAGAGUCGAAGAAGUCACCUUGCUUUUUUUAAGGAAUAGAUGUCUUCAAAAUUUGUAUUUUGGUGUAAGGGAGAUAUAGAAGAACACUUAGAUCAGCUUAUGGAAUUUAUAGGAGUUUGGGGAAUGUAACUGAUACAAUAUAGCUAUGUUGUAGCUUGUAAGUUUUGGUAUCCCCUUGGUACUUCCUUUAAUGAAACCUUUAACUCAUCUUAAAAAAACAAAUCCACAAACAAUAAGGAAAAUAUCCCACCCCAAGUAAUGGGACAAAAGAUGCCCAAAAUGUUUUCAUAAAGUCAUACAUGAUACUCGCCUGCUGAAUUGGAAGAAUCAAUAGAAGUCUAUGCAUCAUUACAACAACACCAAAACCACUCAAAACCAUGGUUAAGAUUUAUAUAGAGAAAAAAGAACCCAUGAAAGUCAAUAUAUGAUACUAGCCUGUGAAAUAGAAGGAUAAAUAUGUAUUAUAGGAUAUCUUAUCCCGCUAGUAUCAUUUAUAAGAUUAGGUUUUAUCUCAACCAUGACACAAGAGCCAAUUCCUUUUGCUAAGAAAAAGAAUCUGAAGCUUCCAAGAGAACCACAUCUUCAAUGCUGAACCAAUGCUUUGGAGAAGCUCUCAAGCAUCAUUCCUUUAGCCAUAUACGUGUAAAGUAUUUGGGUAGUUUACACUCGCGAGGUAAUAUUUUGGGGAUUUUAAACUUGAAAUGAAAGGGAGGAGCUCAAAAUGGAAGUUAGAGCUAAAAGAUCAGAUAUCAAAAAGAACUUAACGAAAGGAGUUAGUUACAAACAGAGUUCCAACAGAGCAAAAAUAGGGAGGGAGGGAAGAUCACAGUGGUGCCAGAAGUCCAGUAGUCCAGAACAAGGGAGCAAAAGUUUCUGAACAUAUGACCAAUAACAAUCUAGCAAUUUAAAAAGGGCUUAAAUAACACAAAAAAGAAAAAGAGAAAAAGUAAGAAAAUGCUCUCAGGCACAUCCCCCAAGCUAAACCAUUUCUAACAUUUUCAACCAACAAAAGUCAACUCAAAGUGUAUAAUCAGACAACCUUUGGCUGGAAAAGAUGGAAGACAAUGUGAUUUAUUUUUUUGUUGGUUUCAAAUCGUAUGAUAUCACCAGGAAAGAGUCUCGUACAGAGAUUCACUACAACUGGACAGAACGAGAACGCAACAUGAUAAGAACCUUUUUUAGUCAGAAGACAAUUGAAUGGCUAUGCUUUGCACUGAAGGACGCUUCCAAAGAGAAAAGGAGUUUUGUAAGAAGAUGGAAGCAUCAAGAAUACUCCUCUUGAGUUCUUUUGCUCGAGAAAUUUCAACAGACAUGGACGUUAUAUAAGCAUUGUACGCAUGCAAAACAAAAGAAAAUCUGUCAUUAUUAUUCCUGAACUUACAUUGAAUACAGGGUGGCUGGACAUAGCUAACGAAAUUGCAAAGUUCAUUAAUGGCUCAACUGCGAAGCCUUUUACAAUACUCUCUAGAAAGACAGAGGAAGGACUGCUCUACUCAAAUUGUCAGUAGAAACAAAUGGACUACAAGAGAGAUGGAAAAGCCACAGGAAAGAGAUGAAAUCAUCCGUAUCUCUGAAGGGAUCAGCUCUUCACAAAAUGAGCUUCUUUCGAGAAGCGUCAUCGGCUGGCUGCCUCCCUGGAGGAAUAGCAGAUACCCCUACCCUACAAGAUAUUAGGUGUUGGGUCAGCAGCACAUGGAAGCACGUCCACAGAGUGAACAUUUACGAGAUGGGGCAGAAUCGAUUUCUCUUCGACUUCCCAUCAAAAACAACUGUUGAAUACAUCUUGAGAGGCGAAACUUCACAGACUCCGACUAUAAUGGUGGACGCCAACAAUGGAAUCGAUCCCUUGCUCCGCAGCAAUCGAACAGGUCUGGAUCAGAUUGGUUGGACCCCCGUUGCAUCUAUGGUCGCAAAAUGUAUUCAAAGAACUGAGGAAGAGACCCAACUGAGGAAUCACCUCAAAUGGGCAAGAAUUCUGGUGAGAGGAAAUGGAGACACAAUUCCAAAGACUAUUAACAUAGAACAUGAAGGGAUCAAUUUCUCGAUCCAAAUCUGGUGUGAAUUAUCGGCCAGAUUCUCUCCCAGCGAAGGAAGCAAGGAAAGAACUUCAGACCAUCGGUUAAUAGUGGGUUCUAGCUUUACAAGGGAUGGGGCUUGAGAAGAUAGCAUCAUGACAGGGCACGAGGUUAAUUUUCAAAUAAACCCUAAUAGUCAAACACGUGACUGUCCACGUGUGAAUGCCUCCCCAACUAAAAGGCCACCAGCUUCUAAACCUUUGGGCCCAGAUUUCCUAGCCCAACAACUUAAGGGGGUAAAUACACAUGCAGCCUUCCCAGGAAGACACACAUGGCAAGUGGAUAAACAAGGGAGACUUUUCAGUCAGGUCAGCUUACAAAGAAUGUAAUCAUUCUAACAACCAGAUUAGUUGUUGGCCCUGGAAACUAAUCUAGAAAGUUAAAAUUCCUCACAAAGUGGCUUGCAGCUCUUGGCUCAUGGCGAGGAAAAAAGUUCUAACUUGUGAAGGACUUAAGAAAAGGGGCUUCCACCUAUGCUCUAGAUGUUAUAUAGACAGAGAAGAAUCAGAGACAACCAACCAUCCUUUUUUACAUUGCAAGUUAACUGUACAACUUUGGACAAUUUUCCUUAAUUUAAAAGGGAUCAUGUGGUCAUGCCAAGAGAUACACCUGAUGUGUUCGAGUGCUAAAACAAAUAUAGAACUCACUCAUAAAGAAAGAUGGAAUAUUGUCCCUGCGUGCAUUUGGUGGACAGUUUGGAAAGAGAGAAAUCAAAGGUGUUUUGAAGACAAUUAUAGCUUUACCCAGAAACUGAAGAUGAAGUGUCUGACCCUUUUCUAUUUUUGGUGUAAACAUGAAUAUAUGGAAGAUAUAGAAUCUUUUGUUGAUGUCCUAAUAUCUCCGUAAGUAGGUUAUAGCUUAGUACAUCUUUCUAUAUUCCCUUGUAAGUAUGAAUGACUGCAGUUUUUAUGCAGCAAACAGUUAUACAAAAAACGUUAGCUUCUCAAAACUCAAAAGAAAGUGUUGGGGGAGGGGGGGGUGCGGACAUCAUUAAUUAUAUGAAUUACAAUGUAUUCCCACUCACUAUCCAAAGCGUGAGAAUACAUGUGUUAUGAUGUUUGGCGAAGGAUCGAGUCACAAGACGAUGAACAGAAAAGUCUGACUCAAUUGAUGUUGACUUUCCCUUGCCUUUGUUUGAAUCCUAGAUCGACCUAUUUUUGUAGAUAAAUUCAGCUCGUUAAGGGGAGGCUGAAACCUUCCAUUUCAAAAGAAGAAACAACUUCGAUCUCUUCAGCUCGUUAAAGGAAGGUUGAAACCUUAGAGUUCUGGGAAGAGAGAAUUCCAACAUCUUGUUUUUGAAUGUAACUAUUCAUACGUAUUAUUCCUCACAUCUCCCUUUAAAUAGGAGUCUUAAUACAUCAAUAAAAAGCCUAAUCCUUAUGAAACUAGGAAUCAUAACACCCUAUUCUAAAUAAUCAAUAGAAAGCCUAAUCCUUAUGAAACUAGGAAACACAAAACCCUAUCUAGAAUAAUAAUAAAGCUACUUAAAUAUAAAUAUAUAAGAAAUAAAACUACUUAAAAUAUAAAUAAAUAAUAACCACAACAAUAUGCUUCCUAGAUUUCUUUGUCUUUUUUUUCUUUUCUUCUUUUUGGAGAAGGUAACUAUGUAUUAAUAACCAAAACUCAGCUUCCAAGGAGGUGUUAGUCUGUCAAACUUUACAAACAUUCAAAAGUAUAACGGGUUUUGUGAGAAUUAAUAGAGAAAAUAUUAUUGAAAAUUAUGUCUCUAAAUUAUUACAUUGAGACUCUAUUUAUAGACACUACAUUCCAAUCCUAAUCCUAAUAGGACACUACAUUACAAUCCCUUUCUAAGUAGAAUUCUAUAUGCUAUUCCUAUUUAUAUUCUAACACUCCCCCUCAAGCUGGUGCAUACAAGUCAUAUGUACCUAGCUUGUUACAAAUAUAAUUAAUACAAGGACUGGUAAGGGACUUGGUGAAGAUAUCUGCAAGUUGAUCACUUAACUUCACAAAUUUUGUAACAAUAUCUCCCGAGAGUAUCUUUUCUCUCACAUAGUUACAAUCAAUCUCUAUGUGCUUGGUCCUCUCAUGGAACACUGGAUUAGAUGCAAUAUGAAGGGCUGCCUGAUUAUCACAUACAAGUUCCAUCUUACAAGUUUCUCCAAAUUUUAAUUCUCUCACCAAUUGUUUGAUCCAAACCAGCUUGCAAGUUGUUGCAGCCAUUGCUCGAUAUUCUGCUUCGGCACUAGAUCGAGCAAUCACACUUUGUUUCUUACUCUUCCAGGUCACCAAAUUACCUCCUACUAAAACACAAUAUCCAGAUGUAGAACGUCCAUCAGAGGGUGAUCCUGCCCAAUCAGCAUCUGUAUAUCCAAUGAUAUGCUCAUGGCCUCGAUCCUCGAAGAGUAGUCCUUUACCUGGAGAUGACUUUAUAUAUUGCAAAAUCCGAACAACUGCAUCCCAAUGAUGACUAUCACAAGGAGAAGUCAUAAACUGACUUACAACACUCACAGUAAAAGAGAUGUCACGUCUAGUCACUGUGAGAUAAUUCAACUUUCCAACCAACCGUCUAUACCUUCCAGGAUCAUUGAGUGGCUCCCCCUGUCCUGGCAGAAGUUUAGCAUUUGGAUCCAUAGGAGUGUCAAUGGGUCGAUAUCCCAUCAUUCCUGUUUCCUCAAGAAUGUUUAAAGCAUACUUGCGUUGAGAAAUAAUAAUACCUGAGCUGGACUGAGCAACCUCAAUACCUAGAAAGUAUUUUAAUCUGCCAAGGUCUUUAGUCUGGAAAUGCUGAAAGAGAUGUUGCUUCAAGUUAGUGAUACCAUCUUGAUCAUUGCCGGUGAUAACUAUAUCGUCAACAUAACCACCAAAUAAAUACACAGAUUUGGUUCAGAAUGGCGAUAAAUCAGCUCCACUACGAAUCAUGUCAAACUCCUGAAUAACUGUGCUAAACUUUCCGAACCGGGCUUGAGGGGAUUGUUUCAAACCAUAGAGUGACUUGCGCAAUCAACAUACAAGGCUACUAGACUCCCCCUGAGCAACAAAACCAAGUGGUUGCUCCAUAUAAACUUCUUCCUCAAGAUCACCAUGCAGAAAAACAUUUCUUAAUGUCCGAGAGAAAGUGUCACUAUAAUCAAGCCCAAAUAUCUGUGUAUAUCCUUUGGCAACAAGGCGAGCCUUCAGCCGAUCAACCUGACUAUCUGGACCAACUUUGACUGUAUAAACCCAACGACAACCUACAGUAGAUUUACCUGCAGGAAGGGAAACAAGCUCCCAAGUACCACUCGUAUGUAAAGCAGGCAUCUCAUCAAUCAUAGCAUGUUUCCAUCCUGAAUGGGAAAGUGCUUCACCUGUAGUCUUAGGAAUGAAAAUAGAGGACAAAGAUGAUACAAAAGCAUAAUGGAGCAAUGACAAACGAUGAUAACUCAAGAAAGUAUAAUGUGGGUUAGCAUUACGAGUGGAUCUUAUACCUUUUUGAAGUGCAACUGAUUGACUAAGAGGUCCGCAGUAGGGGAAGCGUCAGGCGCAGGACAUGAAUCCUCUGGGACUGAUACUGGACAUGGGCGGCAGUGAUAAGUCAAAAGUGGUGGCACUGUAGCUGGAGAUGGAGAAGUAACUGUAGAUUCCUCAAAGAUUGGUGUGGGUAAGACUGAAGGUAUAGGUAAAACCUCAGAGAUAUUAAGAUGAUCAGAAGAUGUAUAGUAAGGUUGAGAUUCAAAGAAUGUGACAUCAGCGGACAUAAGGUAGCAACCCAUAUCAGGUGAAUAGCAUUGAUACCCUUUUUGAACUCUAGAGUAACCAAGGAAGACACAUUUGAGAGCACGAGGGGCUAAUUUAUCUUUUCCUGGAGCUAAGUUAUGAACAAAACAUGUCCCAAAAACACGAGGGGGGAUAGAGUAGAGAUGUGAUUGAAGAAAUACUAUGGAAUCGGGAACCUUAUUCUGGAUUGAAGAUGAUGGCAUUCUGUUAAUAAGAUAGCAAGAUGCGAGGACCACAUCGCCCUAAAAACGUAGUGGAACAUGGGAUUCAAUGAGAAGAGUGCGAGCAGUCUCAAUGAGAUGCCUAUUUUUUCUCUCUGCUAUACCGUUCUGCUGAGAGGUGUAUGGACAUGAUGUUUGGUGAAUGAUUUCUUGAUGAGUCAUAAACUCCUGAAACUGGGAGGAUAAGUAUUCUAAGGCAUUAUCACCAUGAAAAGCACGAAUAGAAACACCAAAUUGAUUUUAUAUUUCAGCACAAAAACUUUUGAAUAUGGAGAAUAAACUCGGAACGAUCUUUCAUUAAGUAAACCCAAGUACAUCUUGAAAAAUCAUCGAUGAAAGUAACAAAGUAACGAAAUUCUAAGGGUGAACUGACUCUACUAGGACCCCAACUAUCGGAAUGAACUAAUGAGAAAAUAGACUCUGAGCGACUCUCAAUACUACGUGAAAAUGUAGCACAGGUGUGUUUACUAAGUUGACAUGACUCACAAUCUAAUGUGGAUAGACUAGACAAACUAGGCACAUCUUUUGUAGCUUGGAUAGACUAGGAUGUCCCAAACGUUUGUGAAUAAGGUUGGGAGGAUCUAUAGCAGAGCAUGCUGUGAAGGAAUUUGAAGAGGUAAGAUGGUAAAAGCCUUGUGAUUCAUGUCCUAUGCCAAUUGUUUGUCCCGUUUUGCGGUCCUGCAUUAGAAAAGAAUCAUUAAAAAAAGUUAUACUACAAUCAAGGGCACGUGUCAAACGACUAACACAUGUAAGAUUAAAAGGACAACCAGGACAUAAAGAACAGAGUUUAGAGUGACAGAAGAUAGGGGUUUGGCUAGUCCAACUCCUGUUGGCUCUGUUCGAAUUUCAUUAGCUAAAGUAAUAGCUGGAAGAGAUUGUGAAUAAACAAUAUCAGACAAAAGUGAUUUAUUACCAGAAAUAUGAUCAGAAGCACCUGAGUCCACAACUCAUGAUCCAAAGCUAGGAGAUUGUGCGAUUGAGGCUAUUGGUAGAAAUAUAUGCUUACUUGCUUGAUACUGAAGAUACUCAUUAUAUUCCUUGCCAGAUAAAUACACCCGUUGAUUAGACUGAGCAAAAUGAGCAUUUUUAGUUGGUCGACCAUGUAAAGAAUAGCAUAUUCCACGAGUAUGUCCAAGCAUAUUACAAUAACUACACUUAGGUCGAGAAUAACAUAUGCCACGAGUAUGUCCAAACCUUUUACAAUAACUACACUUAGGACGCGAUCUUCCAAAUCGACCUUCCCCUCAUCGAUUCUUCAUGGACUGUGACGUUUGAUUUUCGGAUCUUCUCAUUAAGGGCUCAGAUUUAAUCAUAGGACUUGAAAUUCCAAUUUCAAUAUUUUUGGAGCCAAAAAAUAUCAUGCCCAAACGAUAUCUUGGGAAUUUGACAUGAAAAUACCAAGAAACAGUUCUGGAAAUCUGGAAAUUUGAACUUGCAGGUUUUUUGUUUUCGCCGGAACCCUAAUUCCGAUGGCCGGAAUUUUUCAAAAGUCGCCGGAAUCUAAACAAAAAAAUAAGUGGUCGGAUCGGAAUAGAACGGCGACCGCAACAAAAAAGGAACCACUCAAAAAAAAUUUAACCGGAGAAGUUUCAUGCGCUGGCAUGUGAUUGAUGUUGCCGAAUUUCCGGCAGGCGCAUGGGAGGGCGUGGAGGGUGAUUUUCCAGUGGUGUUGGUCGGGUUUGUGUCGCCUGAGCUUUCCGAUCCUCUUGGUGGUGGUGUAUUUUUCACACAACCCACAAAAUAAAAAAUGGCACAAAUCAGUCACCGAAAUUGACGACGGUGACUAGUUUUUUUUUUUUUCCUAAAGUUUCUCACCAACUCUUUGAUACCAUGUGAGAAUUAAUAGAGAAAAUAUUAUUGAAAAUUGUGUCUCUAAAUUAUUACAUUGAGACCCUAUUUAUAGACACUACAUUCCAAUCCAAUUCUCUAACAGGUCUCCUACCCCAAAACUCACAAGCUUAUGUAUUGCCAAUUACAUCUACUAAUUCUCCUAUUUCCCCCUAUAUAUUUUGUUUACACCCAAAAAAAGAAAAAAAACUACGACAAUUCAACCUAAUUAUCUGGAUGGGAUUGCUAGUAUCUUCAAAAUGUCUUGAGUUCCUCUCCUUCCAAACUGUCCACCAAACGCAAGCAGGGAUCACCUGCCACCAGUCCUCUUUACUGCUUCUUCCCCACAUUCUUCCAGUUGCUGAGAAGCUCCAACAUAGAUUUGGGCAUAACCCAUUUUAUCCUCAAUACACUAAAGAACAUGUGAAACAGAUUUAUGGUUGUCUUGCAAUGAACGAAAAGGUGCUCAUUACUUUCACCUUCCUGUCCACACAAUAGACACCUUGAACAAAUCGGAAGACCUCUUCUUUGUAAUUUAUCUUUUGUUAGGCAUGCUUUCCUUACCACCAACCGAACAAAACAUGAUACCUUUGGUGGAACUUUGACUUUCCAAAUAAGCUUCCAAGGUCAAGACACAUUUUGAUAACUUAUGUGGUCCAUGUUGUAGUAGACAGACUUGACUCAAAAUUCUCCUUUCCCGUCCAACCUCCAUUUGAGUUUGUCUCAGUACACAGUAGUUCCUCUAAAAGUACCCAGGAGCUGAAGCAUUGGGGUAAGACUCAAUUUUCCAACCUUCACUCGAGACUUGAUCAUCUUUAGCAUUUUUUUGGAGGCUUAACAAACAUAGAACAGGUAGCGUAGACUUCAAACUGGGACCACCAACCCAUUGAUUCUCCCAAAAUUCAGUCUUGCUUCCAUUAUCCACUGUGAUCUCCACUUUGUCCCAGAAAACUUGCCACUGAUUCUCCAGAUACCACAACCGUAGGGGCCUUUGACUCCUUUUGUAAUCCAUUGAUUUUCCAUUCCAUAUUUCUCCAAUAUGAAAUUUCCCCAUAGUGCUAAAUCCUCCAUGUUGAACCUCCAUCGCCAUUUUUGGAGAAGACUUAUUAUGCAGACACGGAUUCUUAAUGCACAUACCACCCUACUUCUUGCUUAAGGUUGGUACUUCCCAUUUCACCAGGUUGAUGCUUCUGUUCACUUUGUUGCCUUGCCAAAGAAAACCACUCCUCAACCUGUCUUAACUUUUUUUAACUCCCUUAAGAAUUGGAAAAAACAGACAUCAUAUAAGUGGGAAGAGCAUCCAACACUGAGUUGAUAAAUUUAGUCUUCCUCAGGACAAAUAUUGUGUUUUCCACCUUGCAGCUUUUUAUCACAUCUUGUGAAUGAGCUAUGGUAUUCGACAUUUAGUAAGUUAUGCAAUACGCUCCAACUGCUCUCCAAUCUAUAGUAGCACUAAGCAAAGAAUAGUGGAACAGACUGGACAACAGAAAAGUUAAAUGACUUUGCAACAGGUUGAAUAUUAUAUUGAUUAUAUGAAUUUCUGUGAACCCUUUUCUAUACUGAAAUUCACUUAUGUGAAAUAACCUUUUGAGAAAGCAUAUCCGGUCCCAAGUAGGGACAAACCAGGAGUGUGUUGCAGAUUGGUGUCUAGGAUAAAAGUUGACAAAUUAUGACGACAUCAAUACUAACAAGUUUGGAAUUAGGUGCAGAUUGAUUAAUUAAGUGAUACUUUAAUUGUUUAUACAGAAGAGUCAACCAAAAUGCAUGAAAAUUAAUCUUUUUAAUGAGAUGGGAGCGCUAAAUAAAAAUCACUACAAUCCAUUGAUACUAAAAGCUACUCAAGUGAAAACUACUGUAAACUAAAUGGAGCAGAUACCUUCUUGGCGUCAAUUUGACUUUCCAAAACUCGUGGAGACAAAGUUCUAGCUAAUGAAGUUGAUCUCGACCAGUCAAAGAUUGAUGCCUGACCCCUUAGAAUCCGCCUUAGAUGCUCCUGGAAAUUUAUAAAAGUUUUACAAUGUACCAGUCAAUCAAACAUUAAUCUAAAGCUAACAAAUUGGCACAUGUAACAUGAGAUUUGAAAGCUUAAAUUGAUGAUCCAUUCUAUUACAGAAUAGGAGACGUCAAUGUCUUUGAGAUGAUACGAGACAAUAUUUUGAUUAUAACUGAGAAAUACCCGAGGGUCAGUUAUGCACAGUUCAAAGCUCAGAGUUGAAGGCUUAAACUGAUGUUCCAUUCAACUAAAAAUAGGAGCCGGUCGAUGGCUUUGAGAAGAGAUUAGACAAUCUUUUUUUUAAUAAACAAGAAAUAUCCGAAGGUCAGGUAUGCAGGGUUUGAAGCUCAGUACAUAAUGGGCCUACUCUUCUACCUUUCUCCACUUAAAUACCAGGCGGCUCUCAUAUGAAACAGGAUUCGAACCCAUAGAGGGCGCCUAAUCCAUAUAUCACGGACUAUGCAUCUUACCACUAGACCAAAGCCUUGGAAGCAAGGAUUUUAGAAAAAAAAUUGUCAUUAGGCUACGAUGACCUUUUCUCAGACGUACUGGGAUACUUUAACAUGGGCUCAUGGAAGCCUUUGAUGAGUUCCACCCUUCUCUGUCCAGACCCCCACCCGCCUUGGAAGCAAGGAUUUUAGAAAAAAAAUUGUCAUUAGGCUACGAUGACCUUUUCUCAGACGUACUGGGAUACUUUAACAUGGGCUCAUGGAAGCCUUUGAUGAGUUCCACCCUUCUCUGUCCAGACCCCCACCCGCCUUGGAAGCAAGGAUUUUAGAAAAAAAAUUGUCAUUAGGCUACGAUGACCUUUUCUCAGACGUACUGGGAUACUUUAACAUGGGCUCAUGGAAGCCUUUGAUGAGUUCCACCCUUCUCUGUCCAGACCCCCACCCGCCUUGGAAGCAAGGAUUUUAGAAAAAAAAUUGUCAUUAGGCUACGAUGACCUUUUCUCAGACGUACUGGGAUACUUUAACAUGGGCUCAUGGAAGCCUUUGAUGAGUUCCACCCUUCUCUGUCCAGACCCCCACCCGCCUUGGAAGCAAGGAUUUUAGAAAAAAAAUUGUCAUUAGGCUACGAUGACCUUUUCUCAGACGUACUGGGAUACUUUAACAUGGGCUCAUGGAAGCCUUUGAUGAGUUCCACCCUUCUCUGUCCAGACCCCCACCCGCCUUGGAAGCAAGGAUUUUAGAAAAAAAAUUGUCAUUAGGCUACGAUGACCUUUUCUCAGACGUACUGGGAUACUUUAACAUGGGCUCAUGGAAGCCUUUGAUGAGUUCCACCCUUCUCUGUCCAGACCCCCACCCGCCUUGGAAGCAAGGAUUUUAGAAAAAAAAUUGUCAUUAGGCUACGAUGACCUUUUCUCAGACGUACUGGGAUACUUUAACAUGGGCUCAUGGAAGCCUUUGAUGAGUUCCACCCUUCUCUGUCCAGACCCCCACCCGCCUUGGAAGCAAGGAUUUUAGAAAAAAAAUUGUCAUUAGGCUACGAUGACCUUUUCUCAGACGUACUGGGAUACUUUAACAUGGGCUCAUGGAAGCCUUUGAUGAGUUCCACCCUUCUCUGUCCAGACCCCCACCCGCCUUGGAAGCAAGGAUUUUAGAAAAAAAAUUGUCAUUAGGCUACGAUGACCUUUUCUCAGACGUACUGGGAUACUUUAACAUGGGCUCAUGGAAGCCUUUGAUGAGUUCCACCCUUCUCUGUCCAGACCCCCACCCGCCUUGGAAGCAAGGAUUUUAGAAAAAAAAUUGUCAUUAGGCUACGAUGACCUUUUCUCAGACGUACUGGGAUACUUUAACAUGGGCUCAUGGAAGCCUUUGAUGAGUUCCACCCUUCUCUGUCCAGACCCCCACCCGCCUUGGAAGCAAGGAUUUUAGAAAAAAAAUUGUCAUUAGGCUACGAUGACCUUUUCUCAGACGUACUGGGAUACUUUAACAUGGGCUCAUGGAAGCCUUUGAUGAGUUCCACCCUUCUCUGUCCAGACCCCCACCCGCCUUGGAAGCAAGGAUUUUAGAAAAAAAAUUGUCAUUAGGCUACGAUGACCUUUUCUCAGACGUACUGGGAUACUUUAACAUGGGCUCAUGGAAGCCUUUGAUGAGUUCCACCCUUCUCUGUCCAGACCCCCACCCGCCUUGGAAGCAAGGAUUUUAGAAAAAAAAUUGUCAUUAGGCUACGAUGACCUUUUCUCAGACGUACUGGGAUACUUUAACAUGGGCUCAUGGAAGCCUUUGAUGAGUUCCACCCUUCUCUGUCCAGACCCCCACCCGCCUUGGAAGCAAGGAUUUUAGAAAAAAAAUUGUCAUUAGGCUACGAUGACCUUUUCUCAGACGUACUGGGAUACUUUAACAUGGGCUCAUGGAAGCCUUUGAUGAGUUCCACCCUUCUCUGUCCAGACCCCCACCCGCCUUGGAAGCAAGGAUUUUAGAAAAAAAAUUGUCAUUAGGCUACGAUGACCUUUUCUCAGACGUACUGGGAUACUUUAACAUGGGCUCAUGGAAGCCUUUGAUGAGUUCCACCCUUCUCUGUCCAGACCCCCACCCGCCUUGGAAGCAAGGAUUUUAGAAAAAAAAUUGUCAUUAGGCUACGAUGACCUUUUCUCAGACGUACUGGGAUACUUUAACAUGGGCUCAUGGAAGCCUUUGAUGAGUUCCACCCUUCUCUGUCCAGACCCCCACCCGCCUUGGAAGCAAGGAUUUUAGAAAAAAAAUUGUCAUUAGGCUACGAUGACCUUUUCUCAGACGUACUGGGAUACUUUAACAUGGGCUCAUGGAAGCCUUUGAUGAGUUCCACCCUUCUCUGUCCAGACCCCCACCCGCCUUGGAAGCAAGGAUUUUAGAAAAAAAAUUGUCAUUAGGCUACGAUGACCUUUUCUCAGACGUACUGGGAUACUUUAACAUGGGCUCAUGGAAGCCUUUGAUGAGUUCCACCCUUCUCUGUCCAGACCCCCACCCGCCUUGGAAGCAAGGAUUUUAGAAAAAAAAUUGUCAUUAGGCUACGAUGACCUUUUCUCAGACGUACUGGGAUACUUUAACAUGGGCUCAUGGAAGCCUUUGAUGAGUUCCACCCUUCUCUGUCCAGACCCCCACCCGCCUUGGAAGCAAGGAUUUUAGAAAAAAAAUUGUCAUUAGGCUACGAUGACCUUUUCUCAGACGUACUGGGAUACUUUAACAUGGGCUCAUGGAAGCCUUUGAUGAGUUCCACCCUUCUCUGUCCAGACCCCCACCCGCCUUGGAAGCAAGGAUUUUAGAAAAAAAAUUGUCAUUAGGCUACGAUGACCUUUUCUCAGACGUACUGGGAUACUUUAACAUGGGCUCAUGGAAGCCUUUGAUGAGUUCCACCCUUCUCUGUCCAGACCCCCACCCGCCUUGGAAGCAAGGAUUUUAGAAAAAAAAUUGUCAUUAGGCUACGAUGACCUUUUCUCAGACGUACUGGGAUACUUUAACAUGGGCUCAUGGAAGCCUUUGAUGAGUUCCACCCUUCUCUGUCCAGACCCCCACCCGCCUUGGAAGCAAGGAUUUUAGAAAAAAAAUUGUCAUUAGGCUACGAUGACCUUUUCUCAGACGUACUGGGAUACUUUAACAUGGGCUCAUGGAAGCCUUUGAUGAGUUCCACCCUUCUCUGUCCAGACCCCCACCCGCCUUGGAAGCAAGGAUUUUAGAAAAAAAAUUGUCAUUAGGCUACGAUGACCUUUUCUCAGACGUACUGGGAUACUUUAACAUGGGCUCAUGGAAGCCUUUGAUGAAGGUGCCGCCUAAGCUUAAAGGCAAAUUCUACAGGGCGGUAGUCCGUCCGGCCAUGUUGUAUGGAGCGGAGUGUUGGCCAGUUAAGAACUCCCACAUCCAGAAGAUGAGGGUGGCAGAAAUGCGGAUGUUGCGCUGGAUGUGUGGGCUGACUAGAGGGGAUAGAGUUCGGAAUGAGAACAUCCGGGGGAAGGUUGGUGUGACACCAGUGGAGUGCAAGAUGCGGGAAGCCCGAUUGAGCUGGUUCGGACACGUGAAGAGGAGGGGCGUGGAUGCCCCGGUCCGUAGGUGUGAGAGGCUAGCGUUGGAU
rnacentral:lncRNA from 1 species